UUUUUUUUUUCUGAAAUAACAAGGCAAAUGAAUUUUUUUCCAGAAAAUUGGCUUAAAUAGGCUAUCAAAACGACGUCGUUUUGGGCAGCCUUCUCAGGCACCAAAACGGCGUCGUUUUACCUUAGAUCAGACCGACCCGACCCGAACCACUAGAGGAUCCGCGUGUUUUUGACGGAAGGGCUAAUUGCACCUUUAGCCCUUCCGCUUUUUAAUGGUCAUAUAAUCAAGUUUUCCCUUUUUUUUAAUUUUACCCCAGAUUGUUUUUUUUGUUUUCAAAUUAGUCCCUACUGGGAUUUUGCGUUUUGCAAGAAUGGGAUUAUUUCCCAUUUGCCCCUCCUAGUUUUUUGCGCGUUCAUUUUGGUCUUUUUUCUUUUUUAUUUAUUUCGAAUUUGCCCCGAAAUUUUGUCUUUAGGUCAAUUUCAUCCCACUUUCAUAUCUUUGUUAUUUUAUCGUUAUUUCUAUUAUUAGCAGCAAUAUUAUUUAUAUUAUUAAUAGUAUUAUUAUUAUUAAUGUCAUCAUUGCUAUAGUAUUAUUAUCUUUAUUACUUUUAUUAUUAUUAUUAUUAUUAUUAUUAUUAUUAUUAUUAUUAUUAUUAUUACUAUUAUUAUUGUUGCAUUUAUUAUUCUGAUUAUCAUUUACCCAUUCGCAUCGUUUUUGGAUUUGGUUAUACGUACAUACUUAUAUAUAUACAUAUAUUUUUAAUUAACUUAUUUAAUAUAUACAUAAAUAUUUUUUUAUUUUAUAAUUUAUCUACAUAUUUAUACAUAUAUAUAUAUAUCUAUGUUUUUUUUCUCACUAAUAUGUAUAUAAAUACUUUUCUAUAAUAUGCAUAUAUUUUAUAACCCCUAUUUAUAUACAUAUAUUCAUGUCUGUAUACAUAUUUUCUAAAUUUUUAUAAGUAUAUAUAUAUAUAUAUAUAUAUAUUUGUACGUACAUACAUACUUCCAUAUAUUUUCUUGUAUAGUAGUUUCAAAUAUGUGUACAUGUAUAUGUUUUUCAUACCUUCAUCAUUUUAUACAUAUAUAUAUAUGUUUAUAUAUCUUUUAUAAUUGUAUGAUUUUGUUAAUUUUGUUACCCAUUUAUUUACAUGCUUAUUAUUUUCUAUUUUCUUACUUUAGUUUCUUAUUAUUUGUUGUUUUAUUGUUUAUUGUUUUGCUUGUAUCAUUUUAUUUACAUUGUCAUCAUUUAUUAUUUUGCAUUCAUUUUUACUCGGAUUUCAAAAAUGAAAUUUUAAAAAUAUAAGUAAUACUCGGUAUUUGGAAUCUUUGAGAGAAUCGAGCCCUAACGUAUUGGGUUUUGAUUUUCUUCGUUAAACCUAAAUAAUCAAGAUUACUCUUUUAAAAAAUGAGAAAAAGCUCGUUAUCGAGAAUUCAAUACGUUGUAUCCUAACGCAUUGGAUGUGACACGUUGUUUUCUCGAGAUGAGGAUCUUUCGAAAUAAAUGCAAUAUUCAAUGUUUAAUAUUUUGAGAAAUUGUGCCCUAACGUAUUGGGUUGCGAUUUCUUCAUUUGAUUUAAACAAUUGAAUAUCAUUUUAAACUUUAUUACACGAAUCUUUUCAAACUCAAGUUUUAAAUGAUAUCGGGAAUUCGAGAUAUUGUGUCCUAACUUACUGGAUAUGAUUCUCUUUCUCGAAUAACGUGAAAUAUCCCCUUUUCCUGAAAAUUUUCAACGUUUUAAUACAAGGAUCGUAUAUUUAAAAUUCUCCAAAGUUCUCAAUUUUCGACAUUAAGACAUUAAGUAAUCAACUAGGUACCAAUUUUGGGCGUAUCGAGGGUGCUAAUCCUUCCUCGUGCGUAACCAACUCUCGAACCCAUUUUUCUGAAUUUCGUGGACCAAAACUGUUGUUUUAAUAAAAUCAAAUCGUUUAUUAAAAACAACCACUUUUCAAGGUGACCCAAUCACACCUUAUCAAAUAGGAUUGGUGGCGACUCCCGUUUUCGUUUUCAUUUUCAAAACCCAAGUCGACCCCAUUUUUCAUCCAAAAAAAUGGUGUCAUCAAUGUUCAAAUGGAAAAAUAUUGAAUUACACAUGAACAAUAUACUGGAGUAAUGAAUUUGAAUUGUAUAUGGUCGAAUCAUUCCUUGAUUGAAUUAGUUUUGAGAUUUUUUUUAAUAUAACAUGAAUUGGCAUGAUAAAUGAAUGUGUUAUUAUAUGAUUUGAUUACAAGCUAAUGCUCACAUUGUUGAUGUUGUGAUUCGUCAUGUCUAGCCAAACUGUGCCAACUUAUGGUAGCUUACUUUAUUUAGUUGAAAGAUAAGAUAAGUUUUGGUUAGUACCUAUAAACUUACUAAGCAUUUUAUAUGCUUAUCUAGUUUGUUUUCUUUUUUUCUUGUAAAUAGUCACCUUGCGGAACAUGUCAAGCCGGAUUGUCUCGAAGCUCACACUAUCCCCGAAUUGGUAGCUAUUUCGUCAUUUUGAGUCAAGGGUUGUGACAUAUAUAUAAGUCUCAUGGUGUAUAUCUUAGUAUCUAAAUGAGUUUAAUACUUGGCAAGUUGACUUAACUAUUACAUAUGAAAUGAUGUUUUGGUGUUUUGAAUCAUACAUGUUGUUGGGCAUAUAUGUAUGUUUAUGCUAAUAGAUGUGAUGAAUUAUGGUUAUAGGUAUGGCAUGUGAAAUGGCAUGGAAUGGAGUAGUAAUGACAACUUGGUUGAUGGGUAAAUGAAAUGAACAUGCAUUUGAACAUUAGUAACUUGAAACGUGCUUUUAAAAUGUGGCCUAAUUUUAAUGGUUGAUGGUUAAACUCAAGGCCUAUAUGCCAUAGAUGUGCAUAAGCUGCACAAGGAUAGGUAAAUGAAGUGAAAUGAUAUGUCUCAAUGUGGUAUGACAUAGAUAAGGUUUGGUAUUUGGAUAACUUGGUUGAUAUGUAUUCCAUGACAUUGAAUUGUGAAGUUUAAUUGAUGAAUAAGUGUUGGUUAUCUUGUUAAGAUGUUGAAUUUGAAUGUUUGAGCUUGUUUAUCAUGUUUUUGGUAUGUUUUAAACCAAAGGAAAUUGGUGUUUGAUGUUUAUAUUGAAUGGUUGUUGGAAAAUAUGAAAUAAGUACCAAAUGGUUCAUUUUUACCAAAAAUAGGGUCCAGGUCUCGGCAACCAAUUUAGCUCGUCGCGACGUCGUCCAACAGUAAAUGGCAUUGUAACGUUAAGUGGCCUGAAGUCGCAAUGGGAAAUACUAUUUUGACGACAUCAUGACGUAGAAGAGAUGACGUCACGACGUCAACCCUUAACUUUUUAAACUUUGCAAUUUGGUCUUAAUUCGUGCUCGGGUUGACAAAAGAGGUUCUGUAAGCUCGAUUAAGACUCAGAGAUGUUUGUUUAAUAUGAUUUUAAAUGUGAUAAACUCUUGAUUACAUGUUUAAAUGAUUAUAUGUUGUUUGAUUGACUGUGGUUGCUUUGGUAACGAAUGCAACAUCCUGUAGCUUAGACCUGACGAUCAAGUCGGGCAAGGGGUGUUACAGUUUUAUGUCAUUUAGGGCUUUUGUCAAUGCACUUUUCUUGAUGAACUUUUUUAAAUUUGGGAUCAAAAGUAUGAGGGUAAUUUAGGCACAACACUGAGGGCGUAUUUCUAUCAGAAACCUAUAUGGAGGGCUUCGACCCAUCAUAAAUUGUUGGUAUCUUGACCAAAUAAGAGUGUAUGUGUAAUACCGACGCCUGACCCAAUCAUCGAAUCCGGGUGUAGUAUGUCACAACUUAAAACCAUUUGAGUUUGAUAAAAACACUUGAACUUUUUAUAGUUUCAAGGUCUCGACGUAUACCCCCGAAUUUGCGAUAACCCUACUAUAACAAUGUCCAUGCCAAGUAAAAUAAAAAUAGUUUAAAAAAGCAUCUGGCAGAAACCUUAUAAAAGUUAACAUGGUUAUAUAAAACGCAAAGUGAAUUAUUUACCAUACAAAAGUUUCAAGUGCGUCAUUGGAAAUUAAAUAUAAUUUAAAUCAGUAUGGCAUAUACGACUAAAAGAUGAUUUCAUAAACCAUAAUUCACUAAGGUUUAACAUAUACUUCAAGAGUAUGUAAACAUUAUACUUCAAGAGUAUGUAAACAUUCUCUUAAAACAGUGAUUUGGCAGAAGAUGCAAAUUAUUUCAAGAGUUGGUUACAAAAUAGAUCUACACGCCACUCUCCCAAUCGAUUAUGCAUGAUACAGAAUUAGUCAAGUGGCUCACUAUCAAUAGCAGUUCUAGCAUAGUCCUCUUCUACAAAAUCUCUUUCUAAUAUCUACACGUUUGAGAAGGAAAAGAUAAUAAAGUAAGUUCAAACGAACUUAGUGAGUUCCAUACAAAAAGAAAUCCAAGAACAAUAUACAGGGAUACCAACACUUAUAAAAGGUAUCAAACUUUUGGGUGAAACCGUGAGAUUCUAACACGAUACACCAAAUGGCAUACACAUUACUUAGACGGACCCAUUUCGCCAACAUAAACACAACAUGUGGGUGGUUACUAUCCACCAACUUAAGCAUGACUUUCCAUAAUCGUGUACGUUUACAAAUGACCCAUCCUUAUGCUAGCCAUAGACCUAGAACUUCAGAAUCAUAUCAAUCAGCCAUAUUCAUAUACAUAUACCACCCUGACUCCUCAUAUUAUUUCUGUUAAGCUAAAUACGUGUUCUCAUGAUCUAUUAGUUCAAUUUGCAAUGUAGCUGCCCUACCGAAGGCAUCAUAAACAAAUCUCCUUCUUAUAUAUUACGUAUUACAUAUUACAUAUCACCUAUAAUCGGUACUGAGCUCGUGCAACAAGGAGAGUAUUUACAUCAAAACUAACCAUACUCACGGAGAACAACGCUAGUUGAUACACAUGUAUAUCCAGACACCACACCCUAAUUUACCAGGAAUACUUACUUUACAUAAUUUAUAUUACUUGGGAAGUUUAUAUUACAAAAGGAGUAAGAAGGAACUCACCAGAAACUCCAAAACAUGAAUCUACUCUACAGUCCUUUGCCUUUAUUGAUUGGACCUUCGCUAGCUUCUUGGGCUACAUGAGAAACAAAUAUAAAUAUCAUAUCAUUAAACUACUGAAAUUUAACAUGCAUGCAUGAAUCGAUAGCAUGCAACCCAGAAUCAGAAAUUUUCCCUCCUAACAACCAGUUCUAAAAACCCAUGCAUAUGCAGUUGCAAAUACGAAAAUUCCUUCGAUAAUAACAUAAGGGUUUACCAGAAAUUACCAGUAAGCUGGUACUAACAAUGGUGUCGACUAAUUACUAAGAAUCUUCUUCAUUUAAAGAUUUCUACCCUAAGGUCUUUCAAAAACUUAAAGGAUAGUUCAGGGAAGAAGAAGAUGUAAAAGUAAUACUUACAGACAAUCGAUAUCCUUAUAUACCCAGGCAAAAUAGACAAGGUUUAGUGGAAGGAUCAGAAAAUCUCACUAUCGCCCUUGAUUCCCGUGAAUAAACUUACUUAAUAUUUUUAAAGUCUAAUCAUUAAAAUACCCUAGUUCAGUUCUAACUAGGUCUCACUAAGCUUUAACAUUACUUACUAAGCCAUUGUAUUCACGUUAAAACACGAAAAUGAAACUAUCAAGUUGAGAACUAAUGAGUUCGCCUAAAACAUCUGGGGUUGACAGAUUGCUUAAUAGAAGAGUCCGCCAAAUCCUGGAGUCUGCCAAAUGACGAAUCCACAAAAUACGCCACCUAGUCAAAAACGAAUAUUUCACUAACUUGCUCAUUUUCUACCCUUAGCGCAAACGACCUAAACGCCAAACAAUAACUCGAUAUAGUCUUCGUUGAGCGGGCUGUUAUAGUAUGCACGUUUCUUUUGAACUCUCACUAUAUGAAUGUUUCUUUUUUAACUUGUUGUAUGCCAGUUCAAUUGGCAUCUGACGUAUCACAUCUGUUGUUAUUGUGUUCAGAAGAAUGUGUGAAUUAUUUUGGAGGUUCAGGAGGGUUGGGUUCUAGAAAAGUGUGCUUUAUAUAUAUAUAUAUAUAUAUAUAUUAUUUUGAGUUGACUUUGUAUGUCCAAAUUUCUUUCUUUAAUAUUUAAUUUUGUAAUUAAAUUUAGGGUAAACUAUACCCAUAGUCACUCUAAAAUAGAGGCUAUCCUAUUUUGGUCACUCUAAAUUUUUUUUUUAUCAAUUUAGUCACUCUAAAUAAAAUAAUUGUGCAAGGGCUAGGUUCUGGAAUUGUGUGCUCUAUAUUCUUGAUUUUGAGUUGACUUUGUAUGUCCAAAUUUCUUUCUUUAAUAUUUAAUUUUGUCUGUCCUAUUUUGAUCACUCUAAUUUUUUUCUCAAUUUAGUCACUCUAAAUAAGAUAAUUGUGUAAAUUAAUCACUGCAAUUAAAAGAAACUAGAAAUUUUAAAGGAAGUGACUAAUUCUCACAAUUAUCUUAUUUAGAGUGACUAAAUUGAGAAAAAAAAUUGGAGUAAUCAAAAUAGGACAAACCAUAUUUUAGAAUUACUAUAGGUGUAAUUUACCCUUAAAUUUAUGUCAUGCUUUAAUGAUUUAUCAAGAGAGUUUUUAUCGGGAGGAAAGCCAACUUCAACUUGAUUAGGAAUGGCAACUUCUACUCCAGCAUGUAAAGGAAAUGCCACUUCAAUUUCAACCUGCACAGGGGGACGAUGAGGUAUAUAAACCCAAAUCAAAAUAUGUGAAAUUUUCUAGUUAUCGAGCUAUUCUGAUUCUUUUUUAUGCAACAAGUGGAUUGUCAUUUCUAACCAAGCCGAGGAGAGGAGGACAAUGCGUCCGGAGUCAGAUGAACGUGGUCAAGGUAGCAUACAUGUUGAUUUAUGAUUUUUAUGUGCGUAUAUUGUUAUUUUAUCUCAGGGGUUCGACGCCAUAGCUUUGGUAUUUAUUCCAUCCUUUGUCGUUGUAGUGUUUUUAUUAUUUUUUGAAUUUUCUCGUAAGAGACUAUUCUUUGUAUUUUUAAUUUUUUUGGAUAAGAUAUCCUAAUUUUAUGUCAUUAUAGGUUUGCUUGUUUGAUCUUCAAUUUUGAUUAUUUAUUAGUAUUGAGGGAAUCUUUGGAUGAUAUGUUGAUAUCAUAGUUGUUGAUGCACUUGCAUAACUUAGAGUCUCGUAAUUACUAUCGAGAAUAUCUUUGAACUCUACUAACUACUCCUUUGCCACAUCGCUAUUUUGUUUUUUGGUUGAAAGAAACAUAGGCCAAGCCUAGAUACAAGAAAAAUAUGCUAAUUACUAAUUGACUCCUAAAGAAUACUCGAACGAGUAUCAUCUUCUAAUAAGGUCUUGAUUUCAUGCGGUGGCCCCUCAAGAACCACAAAAUGCUCAAUAUUACUACUAGUCAUCUUGGCUAAAUGAUCCGCCACUUUAUUAUUUGUUUUUCGAAUACUUCUGAAUUUUACUUUCCAAUCUUUGAGACACAAGUCAUGAAUCAGUUGGAUUUCAACAACACUGCUCACCGACGCAAGACCCAUUGAAGAAUUUCAAUAAGUAAAAUAUUAUCACUCUCCAAUUCCACUUGCCUAAACCUUUUAUUCCAAGCUAAUUUCAAACCUUCGAAAACAGCUUUGGCUUCAAUCUGGAAAAUAUCUGUGAUACUUGCUAACAUCUUGAAACCAAACAACCAGUCACCACUUGGUCCUCAAGCCACUCCGCCAAUUGCUGCUCUUUUGAUAAUGUCCAAACAUUGUUUCAACAAUUUCAUCGUUGUUGUUGAGACCCAUGGCACAAUAUUUGCAGCCUAUCUGGUAAAUCUCAAAAAUCUAUACUUCAGAGAGGAUAUCCACUUAAUGUUUCCAACCAAUUUCUUUUUCAAAAUACUCUUUUUCAUACUCUCUAAAGUAGCAUCAUUCUUAAGCCAUAAAUUAAUCCGUCAUCUUUUCGAUUGAGGCUACCAUAUAUUAAAUUUCGGACAAUAUAAGCAAUGCUAACUUAGGCAAGGGUUAAUCAAUGACCGCUACAACUAUUAUGAGAAACUGAUCUACAUCCAUGAAAGAUAGGAUAUAUGAUCUCUAUUGCAAUCUGAAAGCAGUGCCACAAAUUUCCAGCAGUAAACUCAAAAAGAAGUUAAAGCACUAUAUAAGUCUGCAGCAUGAAAGCAACAUGAGGAAUUCAAUCCAAGUAGUAAAUGAAAAGGAAAAACCAAACCAAUCAAGCAGAUCAUAAAAUCAAACCAUUUUUCUGAAUCUGGUUCGACGUCAACUACAUGGAGAAGUCUAUUUACAAAUCUAGUCAAGCCAGAAAAUUUUUGCAUCCAUUAUCUUAAGCAGCUAAACAUCCCAAAAAAGCUUAUGGACAUGAAAAUGGCACACAGAAGCUAAUUCCUUAUGGAACCAGAUCGGUUACACCGUCACCUGAGAAGAAAGAGUCACUUGACAGAGUUGACAUUUCUGAAAUUUCCAGCACUCUAUAAUCUAUGCAGGUUUAACUCAGCUGGUGUUUUAUUGAGACCGAUGCAUUAGUCCACCACUUUCCAUUACACGAAAUACAGUAACUUUGAGCACAAAUUCCCUCGAUCUGAGCAGCUCAAAAACACAAACAUCCCCUUCUCCCAAAUUAUUCUCCAAUGUAAAUUCAUACCAUCCCUGACUGAAUUUAGCCUUGCCUCCUUUAUAAAGACAUCUUACAGACCACUGUCUCCCAUCAGGAAGCUGAAGUUUAAUGGAUCCAGAAACCCCACUUAGAUGCUUCUCAGCAAAGCACGACGGUAAGUACUGCAAGAGAAAAUAGAAAUGCAAGAUGAGGCAAACAAUAGGGUGAAACUGAAGGACAUGUAAAGCACAUCAUAUUCAAUGCCUCACCAUAAUACAUCCCCUGUACAGAUAAGAUGGUCGCAAGACGACCCUGCAGAAAGGGUUAGUUGGCUCAAAUGCUUUGGCUGCAUUGAUUGCUCUCUCUCUUUCUUCAGCUGUCACGGUUCUCUUUCGGGCUGAAGCACUUUCAUAACAUCUAAAGCGCAUAUCAACAUCAUCUUCACGUCCAGCAGAUGAAUCCUGCACGUCUACAUUUCAUUUGACAACUGAUCAGAAAUUCCGAUUCCUUACAAACUGCAAGAAAAGAGAAUAGAAAAGAAUAUUUGGUUUAAGAGGAUUUACUAGGAUCAAACUUCCGCUUUCUCCCACGCUUUUUUGGUUCUGGUUUCAUUGCACCUGAACCUGAAGUAUGCAAUUUGACUUCAUUAGCAGAAUUUUUUUAAGUUCGAUCGCAUAAAAAUGAAAAGCCAUACCUCGAAUAGGUUGAUUAUUCACACCCUUUGAAGUUUGAAGAUUGGCAUCACCACCCCAGUUUAUGCAGUUGUUAAGUUUAGACCCACCAAACAAAUUCUGAAGUGCUGGAGAGAUGCAUUCAUCAUCUUCAAGUUGUUCAAAUGGAUAUUGUUUUCCGUGAUUGUAUUGAGUACCAACGAGGGCAUUAGUCUGAUAGUUUAUUUCCGAGUUGUACAAAUUAAAUAUACUAACACUGAAAGCAGAAUUUCCUUCGUAUCUAAAAACCAAUACGUAGCCAACACGAAUAUAGUAACGCUCUAGAAACUCCUGCCAACCUUCCUGAAACCAAACCUUGUUGUCAACUUUCUUUAUUCCUACACGCCAAACAUGACCGUCAGGAACAGUGAGAGCGGCAGCAACAGAAAGUUCAUCCCUGAAUUUCUUAACGAAGUUAUCAGGGAUCCUCUGCAGACACCCCAAAUCAAGUUAGGCUUAUUUAUCCGAUGAAGAAUAAAAUCGGGAUUCAGAUGGUUUUAGAGAAUAAUUUACAGAUUAACUUUCAUAACAUUGUGAGAUUAAACCUCAUGCUGGAUGAAGAAAACUACUAACCCAUCCUUGUACCUAAAGUAAUGCUAGCAUCAAAAUGAGAAGUUUAAAUCAUUUCAACGAAAAAGAAUAUACAUCAUCACACAUAUGCAUGUUAAGUAUAAUCAAAAUCAAAAACCAAAUCCAUACAUACUUUUUCAAAUGAACAAACAUUCAUAAAAGGAAAAAAAGUUAAAAUCUAGAUUAAGAUGUAGACGAACACAACUUUCUUCUCUUGCUCAUAAAAUACCUUACGAGAUAGCUAUGUCAUUUGAUGCCAAUUUAGUGAAACUCACUAGCAGUGUAACUCAGAGAGAUGCCAAACAAACUGAUGACAGUCAAUAGAUUCCUUAUCUAAGUAUACACCAGGAAUGAAGAUUGAAAAAAAUAACACAGCUUGAGUUAUCUUGCAAUUUUCAAAUUAGGACAGAUUUUCUUUUCUAAAAUUUGUUUCUUUAUCUGAAAGUUAUCAGUAAUAAAGCCAUGUCGUACGAGAUUCUUCCUAGAAUAUGAACUAUUCUAUAUAGAUCCUGUUGCACUUCCAAUUUUCUAGUUCAGAUAGAUUUCAAUAGUAUUUCGAACAUAAUCUUUUAUCCGGAAAAACAAGCAAAGAGGGAAUUGGCCUCAGGAGCUCUACUCACUGCAACAAAAUCCAGGAAAUAAAUUCGUUUUACUGUUAUAUAAACUUGCCAUGUCUUCUCCACUCCCCCUUUAUACUAAAUAAUGCAUACAGGAACAAAAAAGCAAAUGCAUAUAAAGUACCAACAUUAAAACCCAGCAGAUCAGUUCAAGUGUAAAAAUUGAUAAGCCUUCAUUCAUAUGCAGGCGAGAUCAUGGGAGGUAAACUGAAAAGAUAUACAGAAAAUUAAUGAAGAUUACGUAGUUCGACUUUUUCUUCAUUUACAACCCAACUAAAUCCAUAAGGACGAAUUAUCACACUGUUUUAAAUGAGUGGAAAUUAGGGGAAAAUGAAUUCAGCAACAAGCAUCACACUUCAUUUCAUAACAAUUUUCUAAAGACAGAUUAUUUCCUGCAAAACUGAACCUGGAAAAAUAGAUUUCUUCAAGUACUAUACUAACACACUCAUAUAUAUCAUGCAUCUAUAGUUGAUCUCAAAAGCAUCUCCACAGCUUCAAUACUAUAACACCUGCCUGAUAAAAAGGACUUUAAGAGAAAAUUGAGAUCUUGGGUUUCUUCUACUUUAUUAUAUUUUUACCUAGUUCGUCCAGUAGGAAAACAAACUUCAAAUAUUAGUUAACCAAAAUCAUAUCACACCAGCUAUCAAAAAACUUGAACUAAUUUCUUCACUUUUUCUUAGUCUUUCUAUAAUUCCACCAACCAAACACUCUCCACCAUGUCUUAACAUUCUAAUCUCAUCUCCAUGUCUACAAAACACACUUCAAAGUUCAAACCACUAGAAACACACAAACCAAGUAUACACUUCACUAAUUUUUCCGAGGCUAAACUUUGUCCCACAGAGAAACUUCUUCCUGAAAUACUAAAUCACCAAAAAAAAACAAAAACUUUUCUGCCUAAUUUUGGUCAAUAAUAAUACAUAAGUAACCAGAACAAGAAAACAGAGAUUGAAGGACAAUAAGAAGAAUAAAGCAGGAGAAAGAGAGAAAGAUAUGGGUUUUUAGUAUUUUACCAGUUUCUUUUCUUGGAGGGUGGUAGAGAGAAUAAGCUUAUGAAAAAAAGGGCGUGGCAUUUUGGAUAAAAGGUCAGAUCAUAUAAUGAUGUUGAGUUUCAGCUUGAGUGAGACUUGGGUUUUCUUUUUUGCAAUUUCAAAGUUUAUGUACAUACAUACAUAUAUAUAUGAAUAUAAUUCGAAGUGAUUAGACAGAGGAAACAAACAACUUGAAAAAGAAAAAACACUCAACACAGAGAAGAAGAAAAAAAGAGCUUUCAGAUCUGGGUCUCCCCUUUCAUCUUCUGCUUCCCCACUGCUUUUUUUCUUUUUUCUUUUUUGUUCUAGUCAAAUACUGCUUUUAAAGCUUUAAAUUUUUUUAAAAAAAAACCCCUCAAGUUCACCUAAAAGUUAACCCAGUUUUCAUCACAUUUUGUCUAACUCACUCACCGAGUUCUAAACUCGCCUGCUUAAAACUCAGGCACCUUCUGUGUGUCCAACCAAUUCCCUCUUUGUAUUUUAGUAGUAAAAGUUUAUUUCUUUUUUCUAUUUUCGCUAACUCACCUACCGUUAGAAAGCCAGACACUUUCUUAAUCAUGCAGUAGUUUAGUGUCUUUUUUUUUAGUUUAAUCAUGCAGUAAUUUAUAAGAAAAUUUUCAUCUUUAAAUUUUAAUAUAUUUUAAUUAUAUCUCAAAUUAUAAUGUUAUAUAAAUUUGAUAUUUUCAUUAUUGAAAUUAUUAAUUUAAUAGUUAAAUUACAUGUAAAUUUUUAUUUGACAUAAUUUAAAGUUUUAAAGAAAAAUAAAAUGUUGUGGAGUUGCUUUUAAAAUUAAAAACUAAAAAUAAAAUAAAUCAGGAAAAAAAACAAGAGGGAGAGCAAAUGAUAAUUUUUGUAAAAGCUUCGAAAAUUUCAAAAUCAAUAUUUUUACAACAUUUAUUUUUAUAAUAUUAAUUUUAUUUAAAUUUUCUAUUUAAAAUUAAGUUAUGUAAGAUGUAAUGUGUUAAAUUAACAAUUUUAAUAACUGUUAAUUUUAUUUAGAGUUUAACGACUAAUUUAAAAUGAGGGUCAUAAUUUAGGAUGUUUGGUGUAAUUAACUUUAAAAACCAUAUUUUUACAAAGUAAAUUGUUUUGUUUUUAUAUAACAUCAAUAAAAACUCACGUAUAUCAUUUAUAAUAUUUAGACAUUUAAUUUUACCAUUUCAACCAAAACUUCUCUAGAUUUAAUAUAUGUCUCUAGUCCAAACUUGAAUCCAAUUUAAUUUUAUCUUUAAAAAUCAACAAUUUGAGUUUACCCAACCUAAACUCGAAAUAAUUGAAAUCCAAAAUAACUCGAACGCAGAAUGAUCCGAACAAACAAUUUAAAAUGAAUUGAAUCUGAAAUCAUCUAACUCAAAAGAUAAAAUUAAUAAAUCUAAAUGAUCCAAACCCGAAAAAUCAACCCACUUACCAAAUUGGUAGGUUCAGUAUUUAACAAAAUUUUAAGGAUAUAUUUUAAAAAAUAAAAAUUUACUUUUAAACCUACAACACCUUUUAAAUUUAGAAAAUCAUCACUCAAUAUAUAAGAAUCCAACUAAAAAUAGUGAACUAAAAUAUUUUAUAUAAUUAUUUUCAAUUUCUAGCAUAUAAUACAUAUAAAAUUAAAUAAGGAUUAGACAGCUUACCUUAACCUAAUAAAUCAAUAAUACUAAUUUUAGCACCUUGCGACUUCAAUGAUAUCCUAAGUUUGUACUCUAAUUAGAAAACAUAUUUCUUUUUUUUUUCUAGUAAUAAAAUGUUUAUCAUAUAACCAACUACAGGUAAUGUUUUUAGGAGAAUAGAUCUUUUUUGAAGAGAAUAUGUAAAACGACGUCUAGCUGGACAAGAUUUCUGUUGACAUGUCGGGAAAGCAUGCCCAGCUGAAAGCGUUUUCUAAACAUUCCAAAGAAAAUGCGUUUAGCUAGACGCGUUUUCCCUGACAUGUCAGUAGAAAGCUUGCCCAACUGGAAAAGCUUUCCUGCCAACUGUGUAGAAAGCGUGCACAGCUGAACGUGUUUUCGAACACUCGUUUCAAAAACGAUUUAUUUACCUAAAUUUUCAAAAGACCAAUCUAUUUGGCCAAUUAACUUUUCUUUUCAACAUAUAUAGUUAAUUUAACCCAAAUCUUUAGUUAAAUUUCAGUUUCGAAUUUAAUCCCUAAAGAAUCUUAUUUUGUAUCCUUAUGUGUAAAAAAUGUAUAUACAUAUUAACAAAACAAAUUCAAUAAAAUUAAAAAAAAAGAGAGUGAAAAAUCCAUUCAUUAUCCAAAAUUUUACCAAUAUUAGAAGGAAAAAAACAUUAUGAUAUAAAUUUAAAACACUAGCUGAGAAAAAAAAAAAAGUAGAACAAAUAAGAAAAAGUGCUAAAAGGAAGAAACAAAACGGCAAGAAUAGUGAGUUUGGUUGAACUCGGUAGGGUGACUGAGUUGAGUCGGGAGCACUGAGUCAAAAUGUCGAUUCAGUGGUGACCCCAUCAAAUCUGUCAGCAAGAAGAUCCUUUUAUUUAUUCCAUUCGUCAAAGACAAGGUUUUGGUGGACACGUGUCAAACCAGGGUGGAAAGGGACCACACCCAGAAUCACAUGCACAGGGCAAUUUUUAAUAAAUAAAUUUUAUAAAUCAACCUCAUACUCUGUCAGAAUUUAAUCCCUCCGUUUUCAUUUUUAAUUUUUAUACUUUUCGAAUCUUAUGUGAAAUUAUUUUUGUUAAUAUUAUCAAAUAACUUGGCAUAGUUUUUUUAAAUAUACGGUGAUGUUACAGUCACCUAAUUUUGGGAUAGCUGACAAAACAAUCACCUAAGUUUCAAUUUUUAAAAAGUUACAAAACAGUCACUAACGUUAUAAAAAAGUGACAAAAUAGUCACUGAUUAACAGUUUCCGUUAGGGUGUUAACGGGACCGUUGAUGUGGCAAGUUAACUUGCCACGUUGGUGAAGCGACUGAUGGGUCUUGGUUUGGGGCGGGUUUAGGGAAAAAAUUGAAGGGUUAUGGGGUUUAGGUAAAAAAUUAGAAACAGAUUCUGAUUAAGGGGAUUUGGGGAAAAAGAAAAGAAAAUCGAUUUGGGGAAAUUUCUAUUGUGAUUUAGGUUGGUUUUGGUUUGAAACUGAUUCGGGAAUCAAUUAAAAAGGUUGGUUUAGGGUUAGAAAUCGAUUCAAUAAUCAAUUAAUAGAGCAUAAGGGUUUAAGAUAUGAUUGGUAUUUUUGUUUGGGGAGAAAAGAAGACGAAACCAGAAACCAUUCAGUGUUUUUGAUUCUCAAAUCAUAAAAAAAUUUUGGUUUAAUGACAAAAUUGGCCACUAACAUUUACAUGCUUUGUCAAAAUGGUCCUAAUUGUAUUUUUAAACCUUUUUUUGGCUAUCAACCUUUUUUUUUUCAAACUGCUUUUUCAAACAGAUUUGAUGAAAGUACCGUUAAAAAAAUUAACGGGGAUGAUGUGAAAUAUUUUUAAUUAGAUAUAAUUUAUUACUUAGUAACCCAAUAAAAUAAUUACAUGUGACAAAUAAUAAAAUAAAUAAAUCAUACAUGAAAUUAAGCAAAUAACUCUUAAUUUAAAGAAAAUAAAUGUAAUUAUCUAAAAAAAAUUCAGAAUGAAACCUCAUACUAUGAGCUAUUUUCUUUAGAUAAUUACGUUUAUUUUUUUAAAAUUAAGAGUUAUUUUUUUAACUUCAUGAAUUAUUUAUUUAUUUAUCAUUUUCCACAUGUAAAUAUUUUAUUGGGUUAUCUAAGUAAUAAAUUAUAUCUCAUUAAAAAUAUUCCACAUAUGAAAUUCUAUAUCAUCCUGUUAACUUUUUUAACUGUACUUUCAUCAAAUAUGUUAAAAAAGCAAUUUGAAAAAAAUAAAUAAAGGUUGAUGGCAAAAAAAAAAGGCUCAAAAAUACAAUUAGUGUCAUUUUGACAAAACAUGUAAACGUUAGUGACCAAAUUUGUCAUUAAGCCUUUUUUUUUAUAUAUUUUCUAUUGGCAUAAAAAAAAGAGAGGUAAUAAGCAAUCAAUUUGCAUCAAUAAAUGUAUAUAUUGGUAAAAUUAUUUGAAGGAAUCAAUGAUAAAAUGUAAUUUGGUAAAGGCUUUAAUAAUAUGGCAAAGAAAAGGAAAGACUUGCUUUUUAUUCAUUCAUCUAUUGUGUGUAUAAAAAGAGUAAUGAUUUAUUUAUAGUAUAAAUGUUGCAUAUAGAUUUGUUCAUCUAUUCAAAACAUUAAUGCACAUAAAAGUGGGAAUAUAUUUCUAAACUUCACAAUCACUUUAUUAUUUAAUAUCAUGAUAAAAAAAACUUCACAAUCAAAUUUUAAAAAUUAUCAAUCAAUUUCAUUUAUUUAAUUUUAAAAAAAUACUAAUCAAGGACACAUGAUAAUUACUUAUAAAAUUUAAAAAAUUCACUAUCAAUAUACUAAAUAAUUAUAAAAACAUUUAAAUAUCUAUGUAUGCUGUUAGGGUUUUGUCCUCGAAUUUUACAUUUUGAGAAUUAAAUAUAUUUAAUAAAAUAGUGGGUAAGUUUUUUAUUUAUGAGAUGUUAGAUGUAUAAUAAUAGGUAAUUUAAUUAAGAAUUUGCUUUUAGCAAAAAUACAUAAAUAAGAUAAUUAGAAAAAGUAAAAAGUAAUGAAAAGGUUAAUUGUAACUUAGAUACAAUUUUAUUAAAGAAGAAAAGGAGAAGAAAUUGAUAUGAUUUUAUUUAAAUGAAAAAUAAAUUAGCAACUUAUAAAUAUAUAUUUUUAUUUGAGUUGGUGCGAUUGAGUUAAAUGAUACCAAACUCAAUCAAGAAUAUUAUAUUAAUAAUAAUAAUAAUUUUAUUUAAUAAUUUAAUAAUAUUAUCUUAUACUCUAUUUUUUUCAUUUUGAUGAAAUUAUUUUACUAAGGAUUCAUACGAGAGAACGGUUAAAUCAAUUUUUAUUAACUAACAAAUGUUGUGUGUAGUGGUAAAAUAUAUUACACUCUUAAAAAAAUUCGAGUUUAAAUUUUGGAGAUGAUAUUAUUAAGAAGGACAAUCUCGAAUAUUAAAAAAAAAUUUUAAAAAUUUCUAAAAAAAAAAAUCAAUCUCCAUUUAAGGAGACUCCAAUGGGCCAUUUUUUUCAUAACCAAGUGAGUGGGUUCCCGUUGGUAGACCAAAAAACAAACAACAACACAACUAAACGAAGCAAGCGAAUUUUAAUUAGUAAAAAGGACCCAAAACAGGGCUACUUAAGGCAUUCUACAUUGAGAGAGAAUAGGAAACUAUUAGCCCAUUUUUGUUAUAACUUAUACAACCAAAUGCAUGGUAAAAGUACCAUGGACGUCAUUAUAUUAGGAGUCAGAUUAUAUUUUACCCCUCUACUAAAAAUAGGCAUAUUAGUCCUUAUACAUUAGAUCAAAGAGCAAAUUGAUCAUUCUGUUAAAAAUUUCAUCCAUUUUUGCUAUUAAAAAUUGGUCCCUGUACAUCAACAUGAGAUACACAUGGCAUGUCACAUGUCACAUGUUAUUGUAUUGUUAUUCCGUCAACCAUGCCAAUUUUUAACUAUACAAAUGGAUGGAAUUUUUAACAGAAAGGACCGAUUUGCUCUUUAAUCUAAUGUACAGGGACUAGCUUACCCAUUUUUUGAGUAGAGGGGGCAAAAUGCUAUCCGACUCUUAGUACAAGAGCCUCUAUAAUACUUUUACCCCAAAUGUAUUCAUCUUUUGUUCUCCCUUUACUUUAAUUUAAUUGAUUGAAUGAUUGAAAGAUAUGGAUGGACAAUCAGAUUGAUUCUUGCUGAAUUAAAAACUUGUUUUACUAAAAGUUCAUAUAGAUGGACAAUCUCAUUGAUUCUUGGUAACUAAAGAGAUUUGAAGGAAAAAUGUUUAUCUUUCUCUAUUAUUUACAAUAAUACAUAUAUAAAGUGGUAUAAGUUCAAUAAGGAAAUAAUAAAAUCUAAUCCCUAAUUACUAGUAUUUACAGACUGUUAACACUCCUCCUCAAGUUGGAGUAUAUAUAUAUCAAUCAUGUCGAACUUGUUACAUAGAUAUUCGACCUGAUUCCCGUCAAGUUCUCCUGUCUUCACAUAACCCCUGGAGAUUGACUUAUCCAAAAUUUUCUCCUAAAUAAAGUGACAAUCAACCUUGAUGUGUUUGGUUCUUUUAUGAUAAACUGAAUUUGAGACAAUAUGAAGAGUUGCUUGAUUAUUGCACAACAGCUUUGCUGGUGAUGAAUGCUCCAACCCAAUUUCAGUUAUUGCAUCCACAUGAUUUCACAUGUGGAUUGUGCCAUAGACCUAUAUCCCAAUUCUGCAUUAAAUCAAGAUACUAAAUCCUUUUUCUUACUCCUCUAUGAUAUUAAGUUUCCAUCAAUAAAAACACAGUACCCAGUAGUAGUGUAACGACUCGAAAAUCAGUGAUGUCAAAAAAUACGAUUUCAAAAUCUCAUUUCUGUAAGCUGGGUCCGUAAGUACUAAAUUAAAUAUUUACGGAGUUGGUAUAAAAGAAUAUUAAAGUUUGGUCAUUCAAUUUUGUUUAUUAAUUGCUUAAUUAAGGCACAAAAACUAAAUUGUAAAAAUUUAUCGCAAUAAGUUUUUAAUUGGUCAAAAGCUUAGAGACUUAAAUUGCAAAUAGCCAAAGGGUUAAAAUGGUUAAUAAAACAUUAUAAAACCAAUGACAGUGGAUUAUGAAGUCAUGUUACACUUUAUUUAAAUAAAUAUUACAUUAGGUUAAUUAAAUUUAAUUAAGCUAAAUUCGAAAGUCAAUGGUGUCGUGAAAUGCAAUUUUGGGAUCUCGUUUCUGUAAACCGAGUUUGUAAAUAUUAAAUAAUAGUAUUUUCAAGGUUAAUAUAGAAAUAUAUUGAAUUUUGGUAUAGUAAUUUUGCAGAAUUGAUAGUUAAUCAUGGUACAAGAACUAAGUUGUAAAAAUCCAAUUGCUAUAUAUUUUAAAUAGCCAAAGGACCUAAUGAACAAUUAGACCAUUAUUAUAUAGUUAAAUGGUGGUGGAUGAUAAUUGGGAUCCACGAACCUUGUUAAUGUUAAUUAAUUAUAGUUAAUUAAGUUAAAUAAGAUUCGUUAAUUAUUAAACAAUGUAUAUAAGACAAAAAUAAAGUAAACUUAUCAUCUUUUAUUCAUUUUCUUCUCCAUGGCCGAAUGUUGAAGGAAGAAAACCACCUUUUUCAAGUUUUCAAUCCGUCCUCAAUUGGUAUGCGUAUUUAGUUCUCUUUUUUUUUUUUGUAAUUUUUAUGUUUUUGAUGCUGUGUGAGUUUGAUUUAGCUAGCCCAUAUAUCAAUUUAGAAAACUUUUAAAGUUUCUAAAAGUUUCAUUGAGAAUUCUUGAAUAAAUUAGUAUUAAAUUGUUAAAUUUUAAGCUUAGAAUUGAAAAAAGACUAGUUUGUAAAGUAAAAAAAAUGUUAAUUUUGAACAUAAGGACUAAAGUGUAUAAGUUUCAAAAUUAGUGUGAAAUCUAUGUAAUUAUAGUAUUUUAGGGACUAAAUUGAAUAAAAUAUAAAAUUUUAGGGGCAUUCAAAAAGUGAAAUUGAAUUGAUCCAUGUUUAUAAUAUGAUAUUAUAAAUUGUUUGGAAUUAAUAAAUUUAAUUGAAUUGUCGUUUAGAUCGGGAAUUGAACCAAAAUAUGGAUAAUUGGGAAAAAGUUAGAAUUAUCGAUUAGUCCUUGCAAUUCAACUUCUUUGCUGCUUUGACCAGGUAAGUUCAUAUGAUAUGAUUGUAUUUAAUUUAUUAUAUAUUUGAAUUAUGAAUUUGUGUAUGUUUGAUAGUGAUUUGAAUUGUUUGCAAUUUGGUACAAAAGGUGAGGUAUGGACUAAACCGUAAAGAAAUGAUAAAUUGAAUAUGAUGAAUUGAAAUUUGAGAUGGAUUAGUUUAAUUGAAUUGGUAUGUAAAUGUUUGAUUUUUGAGAUGGAGGACCAAAUUGAACAAUUUAAAAAAUAUGUAUGACUUUGUAAUUGAAUGUGAUUAAGAUAGAAUUUGAUAUUACACUAUUGCUGAAAUAUUAUUAGUGGUUAAAAUCGACGUAGGACCAUUGAAAAAGAAAGGAAUGGUGAGAGCGUCACGAGUGAAAUGAGCUUUCAGUUUGUAUCUCUAUUAGGGGUGAGCAUUCGAUCGAAUCGAAUCGAAUCAAAUCGAAAAUUUUCGAGUUAAUCGAGUUUUCGAAUCUCAUUUUAUCAUCCUAACUUUAUUUGAAGUUUUCUCGAAUCGAGUCGAGUGAGAUGGAAUUCGAAUCGAAUCGAAUCGAAUAUAUUUGUUCGAGUUAAAUUUUAAAAAAUAAUUUUGGGUCCUUGUAACCAUUGUCACCCAUCGUAAUAAAAUUUUUCCACCUUAAUCAAUUUUUUUAUUAACUUUCAUCACUUCAUAAUUUAUUUAUUAAUUUUUUAUAUACUGGUUAGCUUCUUUGCUUGCUUAGUUGUUUCAAUAAUCUUCAGAUUCUUGUCACUAUGUAUUUUAGAAUUAAAAAAUAUAUUAAAUGUAAAAAUAUAAUUUUUUAAUAAAAGUUAUUUUAAAAAUAAAAUGUGAAAUUAAUACCAAUAUAAAAUUUUAAUACGAAUAUUUUAUGGCAUAAUUAAUAAUUCAAUUUUAAUAUAAAUAUUCAAUAUGACUAAAACAAUUCAAUAAUAUAAAUAAUAUAAAUUGUGAAAUUUAAUUUAAUAAUAUAAAUAGUAAAUAUAAAUAAAAUUAUUACUAUUUAUGUUUAGUGAUUUUUUUUGAAUAAUUUUGAUUUUUUAUUUGAGAGUAAAGGGUGAGAAGUAAAAGUUUAGGGAAAAAAUAACAAAAUUUGAGGGAAUAAAAGUUUGAGGGAAAGUAAAUAGGGGGGAGUAAAUUUUGAAGGGAAAUAUUUAAAAAAAAUGGAGGGGGGAGGGUUUGGGAUAGAUGGGAGGUGGGAUGGGAAGAGAAUAAAAGUUUUAGGGGAAAAGUGGGAGGGAGUAAAAAUUUUGGGGAAAAAUAAAAGGUUUUGAGGGUUUUUGGGAGUAAAAUUUUGAGAAAAAAUAAAUGGGAGAGUAAAAUUUUGGUGGGAAAUGGAUUUUGGGUAGAUUGGGGGUUAAGAGGGGAGGGGAGUAAAAGUUUUGGGGGGAAAGUGGGAAGGAGUAAAAGUUUUGAGGGAAAAGUAAAAAGGUUUGGGAGUUUGAGGUAAAAAUGUAAAAUAUUAUAGUUUGAUAUUCGAAUUAUUCGAAUUAUUCGAGUUAUUCGAAUUCGAAAACUCAACUCGAUUCGAACUCGAAAUUCGAAAAAAAAUUCGAGUUGAUUCGAAUGAUUCGAUUAACUUGAAUAACUCGAUUCGUUUAACUCGAAAUUCGAAUUUUUUUUCGAUUUUUUCGAGUAAAAUCGAGUUUUGCUCACCCCUAAUCUCUAUGACCCGAGACCAUCUAGUUAUUGUAUAUUUAUGACAUUUUGCAUUAUAUAAAAUUGAGGUGAGUUAUUAACGGUUAUUGAGUUGAAAUGCUAAAUUUGAAAUUGAAUAUUGAGACAUGGACUAAAUUGAAUAGAAUAGAAAAUUGUAUGACUUAACUAAGAUAGGAAUUUUGUAUGAAAAUGAGUUGAAUUAUGUUAUAUUAUAUGAUGAAUUGACGAAUUGAUGUUGAAUUGAGAAUGAUGGAAUGUGAAUUAAAGUGUGUGAUGAAAUUGGAAAUUGGUUUCUCUAUUAACUGUAUAGGUCUAUAUUUCAAUAUAUCUGAUGAUGCAUUUACAUCCCAAUAUGAUUGCUUCAGUUUAUCUAGUAAUACACUACGGUGCCAGUUUGAAAUGUUGAUUGAUUAAUCUGAGUAUUCGUCUUGAAAAUUCAAAUAAGGUUAUUAGGAGUAUAUAAAUGUGAUUUGGCUAUAAGGUAGAUUUGAUAUGAAUUGUGAUAUAUAUUUGGAUACAUGCAAGUAUACAAAUAUGGCACAGAAUAAUAAUGUUGAAAUGAUAAACAAAUUGUCUUAUCUGAUGGACAUGCAUACUUACCUAUAUAAAUAUAUAUAUGAACUUAUAUAAAUUACAAAUUGAGUCAAUAUACUUAUUGUUAUGUUUUUAUAUUAAAUUAUUACCUCUUGAAUUAUAGAAAUGCUACAGAGUUUAUUACUCAACGUACGAUUUUUUUUUCAUGCGCAAGUUAAGUUAAAUACGAAAUCCUAAGCACCGACUUCAGCAUCCAAACAGAAUCCCGGACUCAACGAAGUUGGUGAUUUCCUUUUGUUGGUUAAAUGGCAUGUACCUAGUAGAGUCAUUUUGAGUAUUUUGCUAUGUUUAAUAAAGAGGAAUUGAAAGUUUGGUUUGGCAUGUGGAUUUAGUCAUAAGAAGGUUAAUAUUUGUAUGUAAACUAUUUUAUGGUAUGUGAUGAAUGAAAGGAUACCUUUGCAAAUGAUGCAUGUUGUUUAACAUAUGUGUUUAUAAGUGAUUGAAUGAGUAGUGCUUGAUAGAUAAGAAUAUGGUUGAUAUAAAUGCAACUUAAACUUGUUAUAAAUCUCAUUAAGGCACAAAGUAUGUAUUUAUGGAAAAGUGAAAAGUGAUAUAUGGAUAUAGGUAGGCGUUUCUCAUGUUGUGAAGUAAUGUUUAUUGUUAAUGACUGAAAGGAGAAUGUUGAUAAGGUUGAAAUGUUAUAUGUUGGAUGGUGUUUUAUAUUAUAGUUGAAUCUGUUAUAAAUGUAUAUAUGCAAUGCUAAUAUAUGGUUGAGUUUGGUAUUGGUUAGUUUGUUGAAAAAUUUACAGGUUUGUAUAUUGAAAUUGUAGAAAUAGUUUGUGACGUCGCAACGUCAUUCGAACGUUGUCGCGACGACAAGGUCACAUUAAGGCGCUGAAGAUAUGUCAUUGGGACAAGCUUGAACUCUAGGCCACGACACGACGAGGAAAUUCGUCGCUGUGAUGAAAAGGCCAUUUGGCCAAGUCAAUAUGUUACGUCGCGACGAGGAACCCCCUCACAUUGUGACAUCAACUCAAAGUUUUGAAAAUGUUACAAAAUAAUCAUUCUUCGAUCUCGAGUUAAUUUAAGGGCACUCAUAUACUUGUAUAAGACCCAUAAAAUGGUUAUUUAUGAUAUGUAAUAUUUGUAAUGCUUCUGUUUCCUUAAAUGAUGUAAUUUGAAAUGAUUAAUUUUCUGUGUAUUUGACAAAAGUUGCUCCGAUAAUGAAUGUGGCAUCUCGUAACUCAGACUCGACGACCAUGACGAGUAAUAGAGUGUUACAAGUAGAUCUUCUAUCUAUAUUGAAUUUGACCCAAUCAACAUUCACAAAACACUCAAUAUGGGUAUGUUCAUGAUUCUUGUAUAGUAUACCUUUUCUAGGAGCUCCUUUUAAGUAACACAAGAUCUGUUCUAGAGUUGCCCAAUGAUGAAUGACCGAAGCUGAUAUAAGUUGGCUAACAACACUGACUGUAUACAUGAUAUUUGGAUGAGUUACUACGAGAUAGUUCAACUUUCCCACCGAUCUUUUAUACCUUUCAGGAUCCUCAAAUAGACCGCCAUCAUCUUUUGUGAGAUGCAAAUUAGGAACCAUAGGAGUGUUGCAUGGUUUAACUCCUAUUUUCCUUUUUUUUUUUUGACAAGUUAAGCACAUACUUUUUUUCCUUUUCUUACUCAUUGUCACCUCCACUCCAAAAAAAUAUUUCAGCGCCCCCAAGUCUUUUGUGUGAAAUUUACUAUGAAGAAAUGACUUCAAAGCCAAAAUUCUUACACUAUCGUUCCGUGUAAUGAUGAUGUCAUCAACAUAUACAACUAAAAGAAUGAUGCCAAUCUAAGAAUUUUUUUAGAAUACUUAAUGGCCGCUUUUACUUUUCUUCAAACCAUAAUUUGGAUUGUUGGAAAAACGGGUUUGAAAAACACAGCGGAAAAUAAGUUUAAGGGAAAAACCAAAGUUUUAAUUUUUUUUUCAAAAUAAGAACUUGAUUGUGAUAUCUAAAGUAAUAAACAUUUAAUCACAAUUGUACCUUUACGAUUCGUCUAGGAUGAACGCGUCGGCCGAGUAGUCUUCUCUACUAUCCUCAAACUCACGUUUGUCGAGUGUGUGCUCACUUUGAAUCAGAAAAAUUUUCACAAAAAUUAUCAGUGGAGUAAUUUCGUAAUUUCGCAAUUUCUUUAAACUUUUAAGUCAAGUUGUAAAUAAGAAAAAUAUCUCUAGAAAUCUUCUAAAAUAAUUUCUUUAGAGAAUUUUCUCCCUACAACUUUUUCUUAAAUUUAAGUGUGUGAAAAAUAAUGACCCAAGGCUCUCUUUAUAUAGGGAGAAUUUAGAGAGUUCAACUAUAAUUAAACUUAAUCACUCUAAUAUUAAAAUAGUAUAAUACUUAUUAAAGAUAAAUAUUAGAAUAAAUUUAAUAUUAAAUCUAUUAAAUUAGUAUAAUAUUUAUAUAUAAGAUAAAUAUUAAACUAAAUUUAAUAUUAAGAUAAUCACUUUAACAUUAAAUUAAUAAAAUACUAUCAAGAUAACCAUUAAAUUAAAUUUAAUAUUAAAAUAUUAUUAUUUUUAGAAUAGUUAAUCUGAAAUCAAAUUAUCCGGUAGAUUCUUAGUAUGAGUAUAAUUCUUCCAUUGCUCAACCACCAAAGAACCAUAGUGACCGACCAUCCGCCGACCACCCAAAUGCCACCGUCGCAGCCAUCAGUAAGAGUAAAAUUCCUAUUUUGGAAGUUAACAUAUCAAUGUGCCUUUCGGCAUUAAAUCUCGACCUUAAAUUUUAAGUAAUUUGAUAAGUUUCAUGAAGUUUUUUGUAUUUCAUUUACAUUCUUUCGUGAUAUCAAUUACUCUCCAAGUCAUCUAGCUUAAUUAGCAUCAAAGUAGUUUCUAUCAUAACUUUACAUAAUUUAUUCAACCAAUAGUAUUGAUUACUCGUAUCAAUUCUAACGUAGCAUAUAAUAAAGUUAUUUACCUUGAUCACUUAUCAUAUGAUUCUAUAACGUCACCAACAAAUAUAUGAUGAGCUAAAACAUACUUUCACUAACAACAAGGUUAAGCAUCGGAUAAAAACAUAUUAAUAAGCACAUAUUGAAUUAGAGAUUACUUGACUACGAUCUUUGUCUUCCUUUAACUCUCGACAUCUUGACGUCGUCUUUAAUCACAUAUGAUAAAGUUGGUAAUAAAAAUAAUAUUAGUUUCACACAAACGCAUGAAAACACAACAAUUUAACAUAAUUUGUAUUUUAUGUGUUUUAGCCCCUUUAUCCAAAUUGCUUAUAUCUUUCAAUAUUUAGCAUCGAAUUUCACAUUUAUUCACUAGGGAUCUCUUACUUUCAAUCAAUAAAAUAAUUUCUUAACAAUUUUCAUUUUAUUCAAUUUAAUCUCUAAUGCCAUAAAAUUAACUAUAGGGCUUAGUUGAAUUUCUAAUUAAAUUUAACACCUUUCACUACAUUUUAAUACAGUCCUAAUAAACAUAAUCUAUACAUAUCCUUUAUAAUUCUUCAUCAUCAAGCUCCAAUUUCACCAAAAUUCAACAAUGGUAACUUGAUAUAAGUUAACAAUUUAAAAAAAUUAUCACUUGGGCUAACUUCAUUAAGCUUAAAUAAUCUAAAAUCUAUAAAAAAAUUCAAAGGAAAAGACUUAAUUACCUUAUUAAAUUUGGACCGAAUAGCUAAUAGAACAAAGAUAAUUUUUAUUCUUUCUUUUAAGCCUUGGACGACAAAACUAAAGAAAAAGAUGGUGACUUUUUUUCUCUUUCCCACUCACUUAAAUAUAUAUACUUUAGAUUAAUGAAUUAAUUAACUUAAUUAAUCAUCAUCAGAUAGUUAAUAAUACAAGGUUUAACCAUAAUAAGAUAAUAAGACAAAUUAGUGACAAUGGAGGAAUAUAAUCAUUCCAUCCCACUAAACUUAUAUUUAAUAAUGGUUAAAUAGCCAUUAGGUCACUUGCAUAAUUAUUAGUUAUGCCCUCAAUCAUUUCUUAAAUUAAAAACUUAAUAGCAACUGCAUUUCAAGUUAGUCCUUAUACCGAUUUAAUUACUUGAUUGUCCACUAAUAUAUUUUCAAAUUAAACAUGUAAAUUCUUUUAUUCAUAAUUUUACUUACUCGCUUUAUGAAAUUCAAUUUCGAAACCACAUUUUUAACAUUGACUAAAAUUGGGUCGUUGCAAUAUGGGCUAGGUUGGAAGCUUGUUAAUUAAGCAGUACAUGGACCAAAUAGUAAGGUGACUAAAUCGAGAUGAUUAAGUAAGAACUAAGUAUGUCCUCAAAAAGAUGGUAGGUUAAGGGUUUGUUAGAGUUUGUGUGACCCGAAUCUCGUCACUUGUUGAAGAAAUAAAUACAAUGACAAAAUAAGGGGAUCUAUGGAGCCAUACUACACAAGUUGAGCCUGUAUAGAACUAUACUUCUACUAUUUGACUUUGAUUAGAACAAUGUUUUUCAACCAUUAAAUAGAUGUAGUCGAAAUUCCUCUUAAACCAUUCAUUUUUUUAUUAUUAGUGAAUUUCUUCUCCUCUCCUCGUGAUUUUUUUUUCCAAAAAGAUUUUGACGGAAAAUAUGUAUGAUCUUAUUUUUUAUUGAUUAAUAUACAGUUUGACGAUUGAUAAAUCAUAGAUAGUGAAUGAGCUAAAUAUAAGUCGAUUAUGUAACACCUCGAAAUGCCCAGUGUUGUAACUCACGUCUCCUCAACGACUGAUGGAAUUAAAUUUUCGAAUUUGAGCAUCGCAUCAAGUGACAUUAAAUUAUUAUUUAGCUGUCACACAGAGAAGACAUGAAAAGUGGAUUGUAUUUCAAAUUAUUAAGUGAUAUAAGACAUGGUUUUCAAGGACCAGGGACUUGGAUAACAAAUCCACCAAAGGUCUAAAUGUAAUUAGACCAUGAUAUAUUGGAGUAGUGGCACCGCUCCAUCAUAGCCACCAAUUUCCUUUUUAUUAAGUCUAAUGAGAUAAUAGCCAUUGAUUAUAAUAUAAUUAUUUUUCCUUCUAAUAAUUAUGUGUGUUAAAAGUGGUAUCCUUCUUCUCCCUUAGAACCGAAAUUGGAAGAAAGGAGAAAGCUUGGUUUUAUCUCCCAUGAUCGGCCAUUGAAUUUAAGGUAUACAUGCAUGCUCUUUAAUAAUUUUCAUGGAUUUUUCAUUUAUCGAGCUUAGUUUAUUCAACCCACUUAUUUAAUUUUAGUAUUGAAGAGAAUUACUACUGAAGUUAUCAUUAUUGAAUUUAUAGAGUAAAACCAAGGAAUUGUUGAGAAUUAAGCUUAGUUAUUAUAAGUUUAUGUUAGAAAUGUGGUGGAAGUGGUUGAUUCAAGUUUUAAUUAAGGUUAUAUGAUUAACUAAGUGGUAUUAAGGAUUUAAUUGUAAGGGAUGAAAAUUUUGAGGUUUGUUAAUAAAUAAUUUUGAUUCGAUCGAGUCAAUAAUGAGAUACGAGUACCAUAAAGGGACUUAAUUGUAAAGAAUUUAAUUAUGUUUGGUGUUGGUUGUGCCUAUUUUAAAUAUGUACUAGUAUUAUUUUUGUAAACGAAUUAUCAAACGUAACUAAAGACAAGGUGAGAACACGACGAAUAAUGAAAUUGAUUUGGGCUAAUAUACUUUCUUUUCAUCACAUAAAAUAAUUAAAUAUUUGACUUGUGGAAUUAUUAACGUUAGUUGUUGUUUUGAUUAUAAUUAAUAAUUUUGACUACAUGUUUUAAUGGAAAUUAUUGGAUUAUGAUAAUUAAGCGUACAUGUACAUUAUCACUUGGAAGAUAAUAUAUAUAGAAUUAAUUUAAGCACAAGGAGUAAAUAGAAAAAAAUAUUAAUCUUAUGUAUUAUGAGCGGUAAGUGUUGAAUUUAUGUAUAUAUCUAAGUUUGUGCUCUCAUGUUUGAUUUUCAAUAUAUAUAUAUCUUCUAUACUUAGAUCAAUAAGUAAUUGGAAUUAGAAAGAUAUCAAAAGUGAACAUGUUUAAAAGGCAUGUAUAUCCUUAACUCCUUGACACGUAAUGUGUUUAACGAACGUGUACAUGCUUGUUAUAUGAUUUUUGAUUGCUAUCUUUGUUGGAUAUAUAUUUUGUGAUACAUUCGGACAAUAUUGAUGUCAAACAUUAUUGAGAUGCAUCAAAAAAUAUAAAUAUUAGUGAUUAUGAAAUCGUAUUAUGAUAAUGGUAUGUUGCUUUGAUUAUAAUGUGUUUUGAUGAAUUACUAAUAGUGAAUAAUGGCCUAUUAACCUUGUCGAAUAGAGUUACGAGUAUAGUUGGCACACCAUAAGAUUCGUUUUGAUAGGUGGGAGAUUCAACGCUAUGCAUGCACGUAUUAUAUUGUGAUAGUUCUCUAAUACCCUAGGGAUUGAGAAUGUAUCACCAACUCAAAUACCCCUAGCAUAUUCUGGUAUGAUUGGUGGGAUCGGUGCAUUUAUGCCCGAUUAGCACUUUGAUACAUAUACUGGUGUGUUGGUGGACCAAAUCUGAGUCAGUUAAUAGGGGACAAAACGAGAAAAUGAAUGUGUAAUAUAAAUGAUAAUUAAAUGUGAUUAAAAUGUGAAAUUUUAUGCUAAGUAUAUGUGUUAUUGAAAUGGAAAUAUAAUGACAAUAAGAGAUAUGGUUUGAUAUGAUUAAAUAGAUGCAAAUACUUUAGAGGUGUAUUGAAACUUCGAUAUGUGUAAGUAAACAUUACAUGGUUAUGUGGUAAAUGACUAUAGAUUACCUGGAGAAUUUCAUGGUUCAUGUGAAUAUUUGUUUAUAUGGAUAUUGAUAAUGAAAUGGUUUUGAUUAAUAUGUAUAUUCAUGUUACUUGACUUAUUUAUUUGAUUUAUAUUAUGUUAUAAUUAAAUUUGAAUUAUAUUAGCUAAAGUAAUCAAUAUUCAACAUAUGGUUAUGUUUGUUUUUGUGCGCAAGUCUCAGAUUAAUUUUAAUAGAUUGAGGUUGUAAAGCAUUCAAGGUUAGUGACUCAACUCAACUCAUGUUUGUACAUGUUGUAUGCACAUCUAAUUAAUGGCAUAUACCUAGGUUGAGUCUCAUUAUUGAAUGCUUAUUUUGUUGGCUUUGGUAUGUUCUGGUAUUUGAUCUUAUGUAGUUUAUGAAACCAAUUUCAAUUCUUGAUUUGGCAAGUUAAAAUGUUUGAUUAUAAGAGUUCACUUAUAUGAUUGACUUUGUUAGCCUGUGGUGGUUUUUAAAUGCCGUGUAUAAAUAUGUCUAGAAUGUUAAUUUGAAGCAUAAGUGAUUGGUAAUAAGUUGGUAUAAGGUAGGUGUGAAAUUGUUAGUAAGUUGUAAGCUUGUAAAUGUUCAUUUUAGGUUAUUUUACGUUAGUGUCUUGAGACAGUAUGAACAUAUCCUGAUGUCACAAGAACAAAAAUGGCUGUUUUGUAUUUUUUUGAGUUUGAGUUUGAGUCUUGAGACACGUUGAACAUGUCUCAAGACAAAUAUUGCUAGGACUCGAGACAAGAAUCUUUUAGUCUUGAGACAUAUUGUACGUAUGUGAUAGUAGAAGCUUGGAUUCAAAUUCUUACUCCUACCUCUAUCCCGUGUAAACUAGGGAUUUAAUCAUUAAAGAUAUUUGAAAUCUAUAAUGCAUGUACAUGGAUAGUAGUGAUGAUUGAUUUGAAAUUGUCUGAUGUUCACAUAUUAAAGUUGCGGAAAUUUAUUUAGUCUAAAUUACUUUGGCAAAAUAAUGUGACGUCAGGCAUUCAGAUUCGACGAUCGAGUCGAGCGUGGGGUGUUAUAUGACUAGGUGCAGUGGUAACAUUCUAGGAAUGUGAUUCUGUAGCUUUCUACAAUCCCGUUUAGUGUGAGCCAACUCAUGGCAAUAAUAACACUCAAUGUUCCCUGAAACAGUAUUGCGGCCAUCGACUGUUUUCUCUUCAUUUCCCCUUCCUCUACGAGUCCGCGCGCUUUCGGACAAAAUCAUGGUUGCCUCCUUUAGUGACAAGUAUCAUAUUUUUCGGUAUAGACAUAAUGGCCUAUGUACAAAGAACUCUGGAGAAGGCAUCUUGAAGAGGCGUAAUUUCCCCACAAGAAAGAAUCUGAGAUUUCGCAGCCUCAAACUCAGAAGGAAGACCAGCUAAACAACUCAUCACCGCCAUUUGCUCUCAUUGAGCUUGCUGCACUUUGAUGUCUAAACUGAAUGGUAACAACAUAUUCAGUUCUUCAUAAGUUUUCUUGAGGUCCAUAAAUAAGCAGUGAUGGACGUGGCCUCUUUUUCAGCACGAUAAAAGGCUUUGCACACCUCAAACAUGCGCGAGAUGUUCCCUUUGCCAGAAUACAAAAAUUCCAAAUAAUCCAUUAGACUGUUAACAAUUCUGAUAAAAUUUUAAAAGAAUGAUACUAAUAAACCUAAAUUAAGAAACUAAACUCUUUUCCAUUCUCAAUCAAAUUAAACGCUUUUUUUUUCACUCCACUAUUUAAUUAGCUCAUCCAAAGUAAUAUCCAUAAAUUUUCUUCUUCUUUUUUUUUUUUUUGGCAUGUUUUUGAACAAUUUGCUUAUAGGUAUCUAAACUUUUCAAUACCAUAUAAACCAAUCUUCUUUUAUGCUAUAAUAUACACUAUUAUUUAAAUAUUAGAUCGGGUUGGAUCAUCUAUUAAUAACGGGUUCAUUGAAAAAUUAUAAAAAAUUUAUGUAAAAAUAUUGAGUUUUUCAAAGAUUGAUGGUUGGGUCUUUCAUGAUUUUUCUCCCAAAAAAAUUUUAUUUGAAUUUAUGGCCCUACUUAUUAUUUUCUUGUUCAUUUCUUUCUUUCUAGUUGUAGGAAAUGCGUUUUCUCUCACUUGAUAAUAUUCAAAAGGAAAAGGAUUUUUAUUAUUAUUUUAUUGAUAAAUUAAAUGUAGUUUAAAAAAUAUCUAAUUAAAUUUAAAAAUUUUAAAAAUAUGUAAAUUUAUAAAAUAUAUUAUAAUUAAAUAUAAAUAAAAAUAUUUUAAAAUCAUUUAAUUUGAACUUGACCUUAGUAUGGCCAACUUAAGAUAAAAAAAUCAUCAUCCAGGUUUUAAACCAAGGCAAGCUAAGUUUAUCAAGUCGUGUGGGCCACUCGAUCUUUUGACAAGUAUCACUUUGAAUCUAAAAUUUGGGUAUAAGUAAUAUAUUUAUACUAAUAAUCAAAUUUAUUGAAUUGAUGUCAUGACUUAAAUGGACAUAAACACGAACUCAAUUGAAAAAAAAUUCAAAAAUAAACAAAUAAAUAUUUUGAUAAUUGUACAUCUAAAUGCAAAUAGGGUAAAAAAAAUUCAAUAAUAUUAGUUUCUUUUGUGGGAACAAAAAGCAAAUUAGAAAUCAAUUAAUCAUAGCAUACCCUCCCUUUAGUCACUAGAAUAGCAUCAUCACGAAGUAAAUUAAGCGCUUCAUCCGAUGGAUACCUUUAAGUUUGAGUCUCCAACGGUGAGCUCAAUGCCAUCUUAGUUAAAGAAUGAACAACAUUGCAUUCCCUAUAAGUGUGUUCAAUUAUAAUAUCCCAAUCCCUCUUCAGCAAAAAAUUGGUUUGUUGUAGGAUUGUAAGGGACCUGAAAUAUUCAUUAAGUAGAGAUAAGAAAAGAUGAGCCCGAGAUCAACGUUAGUAAUCAUGUAUGAACCUUUGUAAACCUCUAGUCAGUAAAACGGUAUGAUAUGGAUUCCAUGGCCGACUGAACAUUGAUCCAAAUUUAAAGUCAUGUCGUUUUCUCAAGCUCAAUCAUGAGUUGUGUUCUGAUGCGUUGAUACUGUUUAGAUAUAAUCACACAACAGGAUGAAACACCAUAGAAUGUCAUGAACAAUAAGCUCUAAAAAGAAGGUAUAGUCCCUCUGGAUACACAACCUACAGUGUGGUUUCACUUUCAAGUGUUGGCACAUCUCUUUCCACACCUUUAAGACAACCUGUGCACACGAUGGAGAGUUAUCAGUUUUGACCAGGUGAGUUAUUCUUAUCUUUAUAAGCAACAAAACUACGAUUAUUUAUCCUUACUCAAGCAAAUAUAAAGCAAACCAUAGAUUGAAGCCUCCUAAUUGAUUAAGGGAUAAAAGUGUCAAGCCUUAGCCAUCUCCAAUUCAUCCUCCCUGGGAGAUUGUCUACAAACACCCAAACACACCUAUGGCGUUCCCUUGUUCCUCUCAUUCUUGGUAUAUAUUGCUCUUUCGUUGGUGUUUUAUGUGACAUGAUAUCCUUGGCAGGGGCAAAGCCAGAACAAUCUUUUAAGGGGCCGAAUGAAAUUUUAAUUUUUAUAGUCUAUAUCUUUAUAAUUUUUAAAGGAUUAAAUCGAAAAUUUAUAAUUUUAGGAGGGCAAAAUAUACAUUUAUUUUUACUAAUUUAAAAUUUUUAAAAAAAUUAAAGAUUUAAAUAGUAAUUUUACUUUUUAGGGGGGGCCGGGGCCUAUGCCAACCCCCCUUUAGAUUCGCCACUGAUCCUUAGUAUAUAUUGUUGAUACUUAUUUUGGAUUAUAAUUUAUUGUUGAUGUCUUAUAACGGUGCUUGAGAGUCUUGGAAUGUAGGACAAGAAGUCGCAAGGAUCAAAGAAAUUUCAGCUGUCAUUUUAUUAUAACUUGAUGAUGCAUGAAAUCUAUAAAACGAUCCAUUAAAUAAUUUUCCUUUUUGAAUCACUAUUUCUUAACCAUCAAAUAAUUUUUAUCUUUCGUACAUAUUUUUAAUGAUUUUAUAUUAAUUAUCUCUCAAUUAUAUCCAAUUUCAAGUAUUUAAAUAGAGUUUCAAAUAUGUAUACAAAAUAUGAUAUUUUGGCUUUCUUUUUCAAUUUCAAAACCUAAUCCCAAGUUCCAUGUGAAUCCUUUUGGAGACAAAGAUCCACGUGGCCUGCCGAUAAAACCGUUUGGGCGCGUCCUACGUUUCUUCCCCCAUGAAUCACGAACCUCAACAUAACAACAACAUUAACAGCCCCAUCAAUAUUACAUAAAAGAUUACUACAAUCCAUUAAAAUCUUAUUUUACAACUUAGUUUUAAGACCAUCUUUAGUUCCUUUAAACAAUAUUUAGCUUGAUUACACACAUUCUGGUAUGUUUUUCUUUAGGUCUUCAGUUCUAAUGUAAAUUUUAGUAAUCAUCGUUAGUGAAAGAGUUUUUGUUUCUUGUUUCUUGUUUGGAUUUUAGCAUUAGGAAGUCUUUUUUGUUGUUGUUAUUUUUCUUUGUUAUUAUCAUCACCAAACAAAGCAUUAAUGUAAUUCUUCUUUAGAUUCAUAAAUUUGCAGAGAGGCUUAUCAUAAGAAUUGGAGAGAACCCGUCAUGGAGAUGAUGAUGUUGAUGAUGAUGAUGAUGAUGAUGAUUGGUUCAAUGGCAGAUGAUACCAAUGAUGUUUACAGUCCAUGUGAUGAUGCCAAAGUGCAGAAACUAGAUGGGUUUACAUUUGGUGUUGCAUUUUCAAAAAAGGAAUUUUUCUCCUUCGAAAAUGUGCAGCUUUCUCCAUGUGAUAGUCGCCUUGGUUUAGCCACCAAAAGUGCACAACUUGCUGUUUUUAGGCCAAAGCUAGACGAAAUUUCUCUCCUUACCAUCAAUGGCAGCGAUCUCGUACGUAUAUUUUUUACCUUGAUUUCUUUUUAUAUAUUUUACCAUAGACAUAUUGAUUUGUUAUCAAUCAAAGAGACAGAGAUUGUUUAGGGCAUACAGUUUUUUGUAUUUCAUGUCUUGUCCAUAGCUUGAUAUUUAUUGCAAUAAUUUUGGUGUUUCUUUCUUGUUUCUGCAUGUAUGUCGCGUUGGACUGUGACGAUUACGUUUAAACACUUUUAUUUUUAUUAUUUCUAAACAAAUCAAGCUUUUCAACAUAAAUCAAUUAGGUUAAGCCUUGGGUUUUGUUUUGUAGAACUAGAAAAAUCGUAUUAUGUUAUGAGAAUUAGUAGGUAAAUGCAAAUGUUAAUCAAAACUUCCAAAAAUUUUGAAACUUUUUUCUUCUUUCCUUUUUUUCUUGGAUUUUAAGCUUAAAGCUGGUGGAUACAUGGUAGCAUUUGCAGGGAGGAAAUAUGCAGCCAGAUCAUUACCGAUAAUGGUUGCCGAUGACAAAAACACCAUAACUAGCUUCACUUUGGUAAGAACCUCAUUAAUGGGUUAUUUAGUUAUAUUUCCAGCCUAAUCAUACUUGAGAAGACAUUACGCAUAUAAUGUCAUCUUUAAGAGUCUUGAACUUGCAAGCUCUUAGAGUUCUCAAACAAUUUUCGAUGUCAAUUGAACUAAUCUCCUCUACUAUUUCGGAAUUUGAGAUUAAUCUUUCAAUUUUUUUUAUAAUAUCAUUAAUAUGUCUAAAUUGAUAACAUUGUUAAUUGCUACCGCUAAAAUGUAAACUAAAUUAACUAUUAAUUAAUUUACGGUGUUAUCAAUUUAACCAUUAGCGCAAUGACAAAAAGAUUUUCAUUAAUUUUAAGUUUACAAUUUAUAUCAAGUUAAAAGUUUGAACCCCGAACUUAUACCCCUUCCAUCUCAACAAUUCCCCCUAAAAAAAGAGAUUAGAUCUUAAAUUUUAAUAUAAUAGAGGGAUUAAAACUGAAAUUAGAUCUUAUUUUUACCUUUAUUUUUAUUUUUUGCUUAGAUAACAUAUUUAGUUUGUUUUAAAUCCAUAGGUUCUUGAAUUCAAACAAGGUACUCUACAAAAUUUAUUUUGGAAAAGUUCUGGUUGUGAUUCAUGCUCCGGAGAGUCAGCUACUUGUCUCAACAACCAAGACUGUGCAAGACCAACCUCAAAAUGUGGGCAAAAUGGGUGCAACUUGGGCAUACAGUUAGCAUUUUCUGGGACAGACAAGAACCUUGAAGCACUCAAUUCAUGGUACGAAGUUAGCAAAUUCCGACAAAAUUCACUCUAUGGACUGUACGCAGAUCUACGUGACAAGCUUUUCUAAGUUUGCAAAUUCCCAUGAAUUGCCGAUGGCCUUCGAUUUGUUAUUAUUGAUGGUCUAAUUCUUCUACUCAUUCGAAAUUUAGACAUUCUAACUCUAAUAAACAUAUUUUGGUUACAACCUUAUAUUCAAGAUUUUUGUUUACUUAUCUGGAUUUCUAAAUUUUUAAAUUAAAAUAAAGGGAUUAAAUUUUAAAUAUGGAAAGAAUAUAGGGACCGAGAGCAUCAUUAGGAAUAGUAUAAAAUGUGCGAGAAAGUGAUGUAGAUUUACUUGUAAAAACCUAAGCAAACCCCAAAACUAAAACCUAUAAAUAGGUGAUAGAAUUGUGCUAACACUCCAUUUUCCCAACCUGCAAAAUACAAUAUCUAAUUGUAUCGUAAUGAAAAAGUUGAUUUACAGAAUGUUACAGAUUUAAUUCAAGAAACUCAACAUAUAGAGCAAUCUUCAACAAAACCUAAUUUUCUAUUCUAUAAAUUAUAUAAGAGAUGAAUUGAUUUGAUUAAAAAAUAAUUACAACAAAAUAAAAAGGAAAAACACGUGACAUAAUUUUGGAAAGGGGCAGUGAUGGAGGAUUUGCUCUCUAGAGUCCCCAUCACACUUUGAUUAAAGUUGUUCAUAUUAGAAGGUAUAACUUGAAAUCUUCGUUCUCUAUCUUUUCUCCAAUUUUCAUGUCAGAGUAUGUUGACACUAAAGUCGGGAGGCCAUAGAAUUUUUGUGCAGGCAACUAGCGAGAGAGAAAUGGUUGCGGUGCAAAUGCAGUAGGUAAGUUCUUGAUUUUGAGAAAAAAACUAGUUUUAGGGUAUUAUCAAUUUCUUGAACUGCAACAUUAGUUUAUAGGGUUUUAUGUAUUGUUAAUUAGGUUUCUUGAUGUGCUUUUCUUGAAUCUGGUUCAGGAGCAUGGAGGGAAUGUGGGCAGAGCACUAACAACUUAUUACUGUCAAUUAGCUGCAAGAAACGUGUACGGCUAGCUUCAAGCCAAAUUACAGUGGAUGCCUGUUUUCCUUUUCAAUUCAUUUUAACUAUAAAAGUUUGACUUUUUUAGCUUGUUAGCACUCGAUAUGUGGGCUUGUUUUUGAACGCCACUUGUUUUGUUUUUAAUGGUAAGUGUGCUUAGCAAAUGGCAGUAGAUUUUGGAGCAAUGUCUUAUAUAUUCUUGAUUUUCAGCUGAGGGUGUAUGUCCCAAUUUUUUUUGAAUUGGGGGGGGGGUGUUAAGGUAUGGGUUCAAUUAUAGGGGAUGCUUUCGAAGUUAGAUUAUGUAUAUAUGUUGUCAAAAUUUUAUCUUUAGCUUGAUUAUAAAAAAAAAUUAAAUUUAAUAUUUUUAACAUUAAAAAAUCUUGCUCAGGAGUUGGAAAUGUAACAAUAAUUUUGAAUAAAAGUAAAGCAUGCACCUUCACAAGCUUAUAUUCUUAGUGGCAAACUAAAACACUUGUCAAGACAAGGAGUUGGAAAUGUAACAAUAAUUUUGAAUGGCAACAACAACAGCUUCUAAAGGCAAUAACUUUACUAAAGAAUUGGUGCGACAAAGGCCUUAAUCGGUUCAAUAGCAGCAAGGAAUAACUGAAUAAGGACAACUUGACCAUCAAAAUAGCAGCAAAGUGAACUAUAAGGUAGCAAGUUGUCUUGGUUGAAAUGGGCAGCAAAUUACCAACAAAUGUCGUAGCAGUUAGUGUAGCAGCAAUUCAAUGUAGCAAUCGGCAGUAGCCAAUUGGAGAAGCAGGCUACUGAAGCAGAUAGCAGCAAUGAUUGAGCAAGCGAUGCAAGGUUGGCUUGCGGCUGGGAUUAUGUAAGUAAGGUACGGUUGAAGUAAAAGGGUUGAGAGUAUCGAUUGCAGGUAAAUAUCCAGAAUCCAAAAAUUAGCAGCAGUACAUAAAUAAAUGGGCAUGGGAUUUGAAACCCCAAAGUUAAAAGGUGCAAUGCAAUUCAAGAACUUGUACACAAUAAUUCUUAUAGCAUAAAUAAGACCAAUUAACAUUAAAAAGCAAACAAAACAAAACCCUAAAAUAUAUCUGCCAGAAAUAUCAAUAAAAAAAAAAAGAAAGAACAUGAUCAAAAAGAUAUAGAAAAUGCCAAAAUAAACUAAACACUUGCAAAUCAUUACCACUGAAAAGUUCUACUUGUUGAGAAUAAUUCAAAAUAACAUAUUAGUGGGAUAUUUAGAAAAUCUUGGUAGUAUCUUGGUAGUUUCAGAUUUUUUAGUUUGACCAAAUAAUUUGUUAGCUAUUUUUAUGUUAAGUUAGUUUCCAUGUAAGCCUAUAAAUAUAGGCAUUCAUUCUUUGUUUUUACUCAUUCAGAAUUCAUUAAUAGGAGAGCAACUUUUCUACAUAUUUUUUAUCUCUCUCACGUUUUAUUCUCCAACAAAUUUGGUAUCAGAGCCAGGUUGGAUCCUUUAGGCAAUUUAGUGAAAGUGAGGUUUGGGUCCAUUAGGGAUUUGAGAGAAACACUUAGUUUGGGGUCUUUGGGAAACAUGAGAGAAGAUUGAGUGAGUGUUUUUGGAAUGGCAUCAGCUAGUUUUUCUUCCUCUCAACCACUCAUACCCAUUUUUCAAUUGUGAGAAAUAUGAGUGGUGGAGCAUCAAGGUGAGGACAUUGCUCAGAUCGCAAGAGCUAUGGGACUUGGUGGAGUACAGGUUCAUUGACAUACUUGAACCUGAUGAAGAAGAAGAUAGGAGAUCUCUUUUCCCAUCAAAGAUUCUAUAGAUAAAAAAGAGGAGUCUGUACCAGCAACAUCUACAACACUUGAAGAAUCUUCUGACGAGUCAGUUCCACUAAGAAGAUCAACAAGGGUCAAAAAGCCGAAUCCAAAAUAUGCUGAUGACACUUAUACAUCCUGUCAAUUUGCUCUAGUCGUUUCAGAUCCUUUGUAUUAUGAAGAAGCUGCUGAUAAGGAAGAAUAGAAAAAGGAAAUGAUGGAGGAGAUACAAUCCAUCGAAAAGAAUGAAACUUGGGAGAUGGUCAACUUGCCGGAAGAUAAAAAUGCAAUUGGUUUGAAGUAGGUGUUCAAAACAAAAUUUGGUACAGAUGGAAGCAUCCAAAAGCACAAAGCUCGUUUUGUAGCGAAAGGUUAUGCACAGCAAUAUGGUAUUAAUUUCGAAGAAACUUUCUCUCCAGUAGCUUGGUUCGAAAUGGUGAGGCUUGUUCUAGCAAUGGCUGCACAAUUACAAUGGCAUGUUUACCAAUUUGAUGUCAAAUCAGCGUUCCUCAAUGGAGAUCUACAGGAGGAAGUUUAUAUAACACAACCAGAAGGUUUCAUAGAGGAGGGAAACGAAACAAAGGUUUACAAGCUGAAAAAGGCAUUGUACGGAUUGAAGCAGGCCCCUCGACCAUGGUACAACAAGAUCGAUGGGUAUUUUCAAAAGAAAGGGUACAUGAGAAGUGAGAAUGAGCCCACCUUGUACGUGAAAAAGGAAGGUAAAAAUGGUUUCAUUAUUGUUUGUCUUUACAUUGAUGAUAUCAUUUAUACUAGUUCCUCUAACUUACUUGUUGAUGAAUUUAAGUCUCAAAUGAUGAAUGAAUUUGAGAUGUCCGAUAUGGGUUUAUUGCAUUAUUUCCUCAGUCUUGAAAUUCAUCAAGCUGACGAUGGAAUUUUUAUCUCACAAUGGAAAUAUGCUAAGGAUCUUCUCAGUAAAUUUAGUAUGCUUAAUUGCAAGCCUGCAGCUACACCCAUGAAUAUCAAUAAAAAAUUGGAGCAAGAGGAUGGAGAAGAAAUGACAGAUGCAAGGAGGUUUAGAAACUUGGUUGGAGGUUUAAUCUAUUUGACUCACACUAGACCCGAUAUUGCAUUUUCUGUUGGUGUUAUUUCCAGGUUUAUGCAGCAACCUUCAAAGGUUCAUUAUGGAGCAGCAAAACGAGUCUUGCGAUACAUUGCUGGAACUUUGGAGUAUGGCAUUUGGUACUAAAAAACUUCAAAUUUCAAAUUGUGUGGGUUCACAGACAGUGAUUGAUCAAGUUCUCUAGAUGACAGAAGAAGUGUAUCAGCAUUUGUUUUUACUCUAGGUUUUGGGGUGAUCACUUGGAGUUCUAAGAAGCAAGCUACAACAACAUUGUCAACCUCAGAGGCUGAAUAUGUCGCAGCAACUGCAACAGCUUGUCAAGCCAUUAGGCUAAGGAGAAUGUUAACUGAUCUCCAACAAGAGCAGAAAUGUGCAACUACCAUAUUUUGUGACAACAAAUCCACGAUCUCCAUGACAAAGAAUCCAACAUUUCAUAGUAGAACAAAGCACAUAGAUAUUCAUUAUCAUUUCAUUCGUGAUUUGGUAGCAAAAGAGGAGAUAUCUUUGGAAUAUUGCAACACUGAAGAGCAGUUGCAGAAAUGUUAACAAAAGCAUUAUCAAAAGAGAAGAUUUGCUAUUUUAGAAGUUUACUUGGUGUCUGCAACUUUGAAUUAAGGGGGGUGUUGAGAAUAAUUCAAAAUAACAUAUUAGUGGGAUGUUUAGAAAAUCUUGGUAGUAUCUUGGUAGUUUCAGAUUUUUUAGUUUGACCAAAUAAUUUGUUAGCUAUUUUUAUGUUAAGUUAGUUUCCAUGUAAGCCUAUAAAUAUAGGCAUUUAUUCUUUAUUUUUACUCAUUCAGAAUUCAUUAAUAAGAGAGCAAAUUUCUUACAUAUUUUUUUAUCUCUCUCACGUUUUAUUCUCCAACACUACUAAUUACUAAACAUCAAAGUUAACGAUCAAUUUCUAGAACUAGAGAUUCAAUAAAGACCCAUUGAAGAAAUUGAAAAAAAAAAUGAAAGGGAAAUUAGAAGAAAGCAAACCUGGGUCUGAGUAUUGGUGUGGUGGAAGAGAAAUGGAUAGCAAAAAGGUGUGAAAAUGGUGGAUCUAAGUUUUCCCGAUCCGACUGAGAUUGUAAGGAAGAAAGAGAUAGGAUUUGUGUUAAGUGAAAGUCGAUUGCUGAGUGCUGAGAAAACGUUCGGUUCUUGGAGGAGAGAAAAUAAAUUGGGCUGGGUUUAAUUUAACCUUUUUGAGGCCCAUGGUAUUUACCCAGUAAAAUUCAGUUAAACCAAAAAAAUUCAGUUAAUCGAUUGGUUUCAAACCGAAUUAACCGUUAACCGAAAAAUCAAAAAAUCUUUCACCGACCCCCGACCCAAAAAAUUCGGUUAACCGACCGAUUAACCGAAUUCGGCCGGUUAACUAAAUUUUUUCGGUUUUAUCCUAAUUGUGCACACCCCUACUCAGGGGUAGUGGUUGGAGAUAAAAAUUUCAUGGUUAUAAGCUCAAAGAUAGUCAUGUGUGAGAACAUACCGUCAGUUUUUGCAGUGGAGGCGAUGACGUGUCUUCAGGUGAUUCAGUUAGGGCUAAAUCUCGGGUUGUCGGUGGUAGAAAUUAAAGAAUACGCUUGAUCGGUGAUAAGGAAACUACGGGCAGAGGGGAUAGAUAGAUUUGAGAUUGAGAUUUAUAUUAAAGAUUCAAAGUAGUUAUGUACAGGUUUUGACUCUUGUGCUUUUUUAUUUACCCACAGAGAAUCAAAUAAGGUUAUCCAUAUCCUAGCUAACGGGGACUAAAGAGAGGGGAGAAUAGUUAUCUGGUGAAUAGUAUUCCUCCUUAUGCUGCGGAAGAGGUGGAAACGAAUCGGCGAUUGACGGAUACCCUGAACAUAAGUUGAAGAAGAUGAAUCCCAAUGGAUGAAUUAGAAAUGAAGUGGCGUACUGAUGAAAAGUUUGAAGAUAAAAUUUUUAUAGCUUCCUAAGAAUAAAUUGUUGCUUUUCAAGAGUUGAGGCUGAUUAAUUGAAUAUAGCUAAGACAUCGGAAGUCUCUAAAGCUACCUCUCACUUUAACUGGAUCUGGGUUUUGUUUAAUUUUAAGAAUUUUGGGUCGUGUGUUUUAUUAUGUUUUGGAAUUUUAUUUUAGUUCGUUUGUAAGAGAUUCUUCUUUGAGCCUAAAUAGUUCUUAAAUAAAAUAUCUACGUAUUUUAUUUCAAAAUAUAAAAUUAAAAAAUUAGAAAUAUUUUCUUAUCAUUUGUAAUUAGAUCACAAAAAUGUGGUUGUCAUCCAACCUAACAAGAGUAUUUGUCAUUACAAAAUUCAAUUAAAAUGAAUAAAAAUUGAAAUACAAAAUUAAAUCAACAGAACUUAAGAGAAAUUUAAUGAAAAUUUUAGAACUAAAAUCUUGAGAGAAUUGGAUUUGAAUGAAAAAUGGAGAAAAUGGCUUAGGUUUACGUAGCAAUUAAACUAGUCAUUGGAGUUUUUGACCGUUGGGGAUGUUAUAGUUGGGGAAAACGUGUCCAGCGAGGCGCGCUUUCCUGCACAGUUUGCAAAACGCGUCCAGUGAGGUACGCUUUCUUGCACAAUCAGCAAAACGCUCCAAUAGGACACGUUUUCAUAUUCUCUCUCCAAAAUUGACAUAUUCCAAUAAAUAUGCCAUAAAUCAACCUAAACAACCAAUUUUUUCCAGCCUUUUUGGCUAAUUUAGUCAUGAGAUUGUUUGCGAUCAAACUCAAACUCUUAUACCUAUACCACAAUACUUUGUCACUAGGCUAAGAGGUUGUUGGCAUUCAUUUCUUUCCUUUUAUAUUAAUUUUAUGAUUAAAAUUUAUCUCAAAUUUAACUUGUUUUCAUGAUAUUCAGUGACAAUUCGUUGUUGUCCACCUUUAUAUAUUAAGUAUAUAAUUUAAAUUAAUCUCAAAUUUAACUUGCUUUCAUGAUAUUCAAUUUUUAAAGUAGUAGUUCUCUGCAUCUGUUAUAAUAGACGUUGAUAAUGGUAAUAGAACGAUCGCAAAGUAAUAAGAAAAUGAAAAAUAAAACACACAGAUUUUACGUAGAAACCUUUUCGGGAAAAAAUCACAGGCAUAGGAGAAGAAAUUUACUAAUGUUGAAAAUUAAAUGAUACAAGAGGAGUUUCGACUACAUCCAUUUAAAGGUUGAAAAACCCUAUUCUAAUAAAUGUAAAAUAGAAGUAGUGUAGUUCUAUACGGAUUCUAGGAGUUUGACAUGUUUUGAAAAUGCUUUUUUUUUAUCUAUUUUACAUCCUCUAAAAUCUGCAUUGAAGUAAGCAUGCAAACUAAAGGAAGAGUCCUCACAAUACCAAAGUCUUAAGUUUGGUGUAACCUUAAGGCACCUAAAGAUUCUCUUAAUGACUUGUAAAUGUGAAUUUCUAGGAGGUUAUUUAAAUCUAGAGCAUAGACAAACACUAAAUAUAAUAUCAGGUUAAUCAGAGGUAAGAUAUAGUAAUGAACCAACCAUAGACCUAUAUAGUUUUGUGUCAACUCACUUUUCUCCUUCAUCCUUAUCAAGAAGUGCUUAUUAUAGUGAAUUGAGGCUUCAAGACCUCUAUUUUGAAUUGCUUAAGCAUCUCCUCUAUUUACUUGGCUUGAUUGAUGAAGAUGUCAUCUUUUGUUUGCUUGAUCUAGAGCCUCAAAAAGAAGUUGAGUUCCCCCAUCAUUCUCAUAUCAAAUUUACCUUGCAUAGUCUUAGAAAAUUCUUGGCAAAACAAUUCUUUAGUAGUACCAAAAAUAAUAUCAUUGUUGAGUAUGGCUCUUAUUUCAGUCAAAUUUGAGAAAUAAUCUUCCAGUUAAACUCUGUUUAUUUGUUUCAAUUUAACUCUACUUAUUUGUUUCAAUUAAACUCCGCUUAUUUAUUUCAAUCAAACUCUAAUUAGUCUAGAUUAUUUUAUUACUAUUUGACUUAUGAAUUUAGCCUAUAAAUAGACUCUUUUACAACCUUAGAAAAAACACUCAUUAGUGAUUAAACUAACACUUUUAGAGAAUUUUAUGUUUACGUUUUGAGGGUUUUUUAUUUUCGGGUUUUCGGUGUUUAGUUUUUAUCUCCAUCUUUUGUACUCUUCGUUCUUUUUCCAUUAUAGUAAAAUUAUCUUUGCCCAUGGUUUUUAUCCUCUUUGGAGGGAUUUUUCCACGUUAAAUUUGUGUGUUCAAUUUCUCAAUUUCUUCCACUAUUUUUACUUGUUCAUUGCUUAAUCGAGUCGAUCCCCAACAAGUGGUAUCAGAGCUAGUUCAAUUUUCGUAGGUCAUUUCGUUCAGAGAUGGUAGCAACAAGGUUUGAAAUUGAGAAGUUUGAUGGUGUCACAAAUUUCAAUCUGUGGCAAGUUUGGAUGAUGGCAAUUCUAGUUCAAACUGGCUAGAAAAAGGUUGUUACCGGGAAAAAGCCUUAGAAUCUAAAUCAAAUAGAAUAGAAAGGACUUGAUGAAAAGGCCUUGUCUACAAUCCAAUUGAGUCACGAAUACUAUAUUGCAGGAGGUAUUGAUGGAGAAGACAUCAUCCGCCUUAUGGAAAAUGUUAAAAACUCUUUACGCGACUAAGUCUCUGGCUAACCAUUUUGUGUUGAAACAAAGUCUAUUCACGUUUCGCAUAAAAGAAGGUGAGCUUCUUAGAGAUCACAUCAGUCAGUCCAUUACUCUUUUAAAUGAUUUAAAGAACGUUGAGGUUCAGAUUGACGAUGAAGAUCAAACUAUACUAUUAUUGUGUUGUUUACACCAUUAUCAAAACACCAUUAUCAAGCCACUAAAAAUUUUUGUGAUAAAUUCUAAUGUGCAAAACAUAUGAAAUUAAAAUAUCUUAUCGUUAAAGAAGAAGUUCAGAAACAAUAAGUGUCUAUAAAGCACUUUAGAAUUGGUCUUAUAAUUUCAAAUCUAUUAACUAAAGUCUUACAACCAAAAACAUUUAAAGAACUUGCAUAUAGAAUGGGUCUUGAAAGCAUUGAUGAACGAUAUUUUAUGAUAAUGUAACACUUUGAGCUCAUUUAUUAUGUUUCUGAUAUAAAAUUUGCAUAUUUCCUGUUUAUCAUGAUAUGUGCAUAUAAAAUUUAAUAUUUCUUAUUUAUCGUGACGUAUUUAUUAUUUAUCAUGUUCGUUUAAUUAAAACUCAAUUUGUUUAUUAAUUCAAACCUAAUUUAUAUACUCCAUUCAUUUAAAACUCCAUUUGUUUAUUAACAAACAUAUUUGCACAUCAUAAACAACAUAUUAACCAACAAUCAACGAAGAUGUUGGUGAACAUAUUUUAGGCUUAAUUUUGUUAUGAUAGCUAACAUUUCAUAAAUUUUACUUUUGUUAUUUUUAAAAUAUUUUAGUUAUCUUUUAUUUUAUUUUUAUUUUCUAACGAUCUUUCAAUAAGAUGCUUUGGUAGUGAAAAUAAAGAGUUAAAAAACAAAAAAAAUGAAAAUGAAGGAGAUAUAUUUUGAAGUAUCUAUAGUAAAAAUAUCAACCUUGAACAUACAUGUCUAUAAAUGAACAAAUCAAAUAUACCUAUAUAUACCUAUACCAACUAUUCACAAAGUAAUUCGUCACUAAUAAUAGAAAAUUUUCCAAAACCACUGGUCGUAGUUAGGAAUGAAUAAUGAAUAACGAAUAUCACCGACUUUGUUUCUCAAAUGUCCAAAAUACAAAUGAAGACAAAAUUCCAACAGGCAGGCUGCUGAUUGCCGACUGAGUAAGCCAAUGUAUAUAACAUUCUAUACAGACUAAAUCUACAUUCCUGUACAUUUAGAAUGUGAGAUUAAAUCAAAAUUUCCUAAAACCCAACAAAACAAAAACAUUCAUAUAUAUAUAUAUAUAUAUAUAUAUAUACCACUGCUUACUAGUAAUUUGGUAUAGUAGUGAAUGUCACAGGCAAAGCCAAUGGUGCUGGUUGACUACAUCGUUCUUCAUUUUCUAAGCUUCCAUGGAUGUAAUUGAGACAACGGCAGACUUCCUUCACAGAAAUAGAAACCGCAACUUCCUAUGCAACUUUAAUAUGUUUCUUUCCAUGAAGAUCCACCACAAGAUCCCGCAGCUCAGGGAAAACUGAUAUGAUUACAAGUUCUAAUAUCGCGUAAGCAAGUUGCUUCACGCAUAUAGUUGACUGCAUUCAUAAUGACAAAGUCAAUACAACCAGAAAGUGAAGAAAUUAGGAAAAAACAUCAACGUCAUGUUAGAAAAUAGCAACUCAACCUGAGUGAAAAAAUAUAUGUCUCUUGCACAUCGUCUGUAUUGCUUGUGCCCGAUUAAGCUAACUAAGGCCGUCGGAGCGCCAUCUGACAAAAAUAUUAAUCAUUUAGUGGUUUUCACCAUUAAUCAAGUUCUAGCUCCAGGGAAAACAUAUAUGAAACAUGCUCAACAAAUUUCACAAUAUAAAAAUAAUCUCAAAAAACAUGUUAUGGACCACGGUAACCUAGACCCAAAAGGACUUCAGAAAUUGUCAUUAGAAAUAUAAUCAUUCAACUCUGGACCAAGGAAUUCGAUCAUUCGAAGCAAUGCUCAUAUGAGAAUUGCAAGCAUGUGAACCACAGAUCCAAAAGUCAUGGCAGGUCACCACUAUGAUCUGACAAAAACAAAGAAAAAAGUCUCACCGAAAAGCAUCUUUUUAAUGCUGCUUGCUCUACGAGCUGCCUCAAGUUGUUCCUCAAAGGACCCUGGUUUAUUGACAUUACCCCCACCAAAUUGGCUGAAGUUCUGCGAAGGUGUCUGGUUAGGCUGAGUAUUCUCGAAUUUUCCCUGAAUAUUCCCUGCUUUUGUAAAGAAUGUACCACCUGGCCACAGAAUCUGGGGAAAAAGAGGUUAUUAAAAGAAAAGAAUACAUGUGCAUGGCUCUUCAAGACACUUUUUACUAGGUUAACUACUGAGAAACAAAUUAAUCAUUGUUCUCAAGAUUGGGCUACUGCUGACAGCUAAGCCUCAGCCUGUGAAGUUCUCAUUGAGAGACCAAAGUAGCCCAACCAAUCAGUAUACAUAGGGCUUUAAGAAACAGAGCCAUCUAAAAGUUCAUAUGCAAGUAGAAGCAGCUCUUAAUGACAAAACUCGUGCUUUUACAGCAUCAAAUGCUGAACCAUAUAACACUCAAAGUUAAACUGUCUCAAAUUUGUUCAACUCUUACAUCUUGAAUCCAUCGAAUCCCUAGUGCAAUAGUGUCCUCCCUCCGAAGCCAAUAAAUCUGCCUCAAAAGCCAGUCAUCGAUGGCAUCCUCCAUCACCAGCUGUAAUAUUUGCUUAGAUAUCCAGAAGACCUGUCUUCUGCAUCAAUGAAAAAAUGCACAUGUUUAAAAUGCACAUGUUUAUGCCAAAUUAUUCUGAAAUUAGGUAAAUUUAUAACAUCAUAGCACGCAAUUAAAGUUAAACAGGACCACAUGGUCUGAAAGACUAGACAGUUGCCACUGGCUAAAAGGAAACCAGGAAAAAGGCUUGAAGUAUAACUAAACAAUGGCAGCAGACUAAUGCCUCUAAACCCAUGCAAAGUUAGUGUUUUAUCAUGCAGCCUGUUUCAGAACAGACAAAGUAGCUAUGAGACGCAAGACUAACUUCUCAUAAAAGAUAGAACAGAAAACACAAGAUGUAGUAAUUGUUAGUUCUGAGAUGGGUAAUCAGCUCACCACAUCAACCAAUCCUAUGCUAGGAAAACAAACAUUAGAAACACCAAAGUCCAGGUACAAUAUUAUUUUUAGGUUGAUCUUUAUAAUUACCAAAUGGUAGAAUACGGCAUUUUAGCAAUUAAUUAAUCCACAAUUAUGGAAAUGAGGAAAAAUUAGCUCACCUUAGCCAGCCUCUCCUCUUAAGCUGAAACACAUUAUCAACUAGAUUCAGCAACGGAACGCUCAUGUUAGGAGGUGCCCACUGCAAAAAAAUCAAUUGUGAACAUUCAAAUAUUACAAGUGAAAGAAAAAAAAAAGAAAAGAGAUCUUCAAAAAUGGUGUAAGCUUAAAUAAGCUGAAACUAUUCAACCAAAAGAUCACUAACAAAAGCAAAGGGCCACAGCCAGAUAGACACCAAAUGAAAGGUUGCGGUAGCUAGAGAAUAGGUGCAACCAACAAAGAAACUUAUUUUCCUUGUAAUGAUACUCACUUUUGGUUGAGAUUCUUAUGAAUGCAAUCCAAAAUUUUAUUGACCAAGUAGCAAAAGUUCUCAGUUUAGAAGAGUAUUCUCACAAGAAAACAAUUGAGAUAAAGAAUGAUACCUCCGGGGGCAUUCCAACUGGAUCCUCCAUAUGGCUUGAGGUUGUGGGGAAUUUUAUUGCAGGAGAACCUUGCUGACCAAGCAAUUCAGUUUUAACACCUAAAUUAUGUUUCUCAGAGACUAAAUUACCAGACUCUCCACCAUGCUCUAUCACCCUUGGAGGCAAACUUGUGUUCGACUCAAAGUCUGGAUGCCAACCAUGGCCUUGGGAACCAGAUCUAUCAUCCUCAUGACCAUGGCUACUAUCUUUAUCACCUUCUUCGUUAUCAGAAGCGCUAUGCACUGUCUCCAAGUUACUUUGCCUUGAAAUGUCUUUAGCAAUCUCAUCAGCACUCCAUGACAAGGUCCUGCCAGUGACUGAAGAAGAGGCUUCACUAGGGGGAGAAGACGAAUCAACAGCUUUGCACAUUACGCCAUCUGAUACUCCUCUAAAUUGGCGUACAAUAUCAUCAGCAGCAUCGUCCACAUUGACUGUUCAUACACAAGAGAAUCAGAAAUGGUCAGGAAAUAAUCUGAAUAAAAAGAGUUAUUGUAUGCAAGAACAACAUGAUAACCAGAAACAGAAAUAACAUACCUGCAAGGGUUCUCAUCACUGAUGAAGAUUUUCCAAAAGAGUAAUUCUUCAAUACCAAAUGACAACCACAAAUAGAAUGAGAUGUCAUUCAUCCGUAAAAAAACACACUAGCACCCAAUUUGAUGCGAACAAGAUACAUACCUUUGAGGAAACACUUAAAAAGUCCCACACUUCAUGUUGUUCAGCCACAUUAGCUAUAGACAACAGAUCCUGCGAAAAGGCAACUUAAUUGAAGCUCAGGUUUAAAAGCAAACAUCCUACAAUAAAGAAAGGUCAGGAAGUAAAUUACUUCUAGAUACUUGUCAAGCUGAAUGCAACGCUGGUGAACAAAAGUGUCCUCGGUGCUUGACGAAAAUAUCCUUUUGGGAGGCAAGUGUAAUGUAUAAUUAGGAAUUUCUUUAAGAUGUCGAUGCAACCGUUCAAAGUUCCUGUAUCUGCGGAUUAAAAAAAAAAAGUCAAAUGAACAAUUAGAGAAGAAAAUAAAACAAGUUACCAGAACUUUCAAUUGCUCUCUUGUGAUGACUACGUUCUGGCUUAAAACUAUAAAGACUUUAAAAUAUCUAAGGGAAUUAACUAACUAAAGGCCCUUAAACAAAUGACUUUUUCAUUUAACACACACAUAUAUGUAUAAGAAGUUGGGUGAGAAAAAACCUUCUUUUAACAAACCAAGUUCUAUUUUCAGCAUCUGUCACAGCGAUUGAAUAAACUGCAAAUGAUUUUGAUCCAAGUUUUUCAACAUAUGCUCCAAUAACCUGCAGAGAUAGACAGGCAUAGCAAAUAUGAUUACAGAUCAUAGAAUGUCUAUGACUGCCAAGCAUAAGAAGCUGUUUUCAUUUAUAUCCCACAUCAAAUAUGGAUUCAGCAGGCAGUUCAAAUUUCAAAUUCACAAAACUCGCAACAAUAUACACAGGCAUGCUCACCCGGCACCUAAGCUUCGGAACAUGUGGCUCCUCAUUGCGAAGUACUGUAUUUGAGGUAAUCUUACCCCUAUAUUCUUCAGUAUGCCUGCCAAAAUCAGGGCUGUAGAACUCUGAAAUAAUCGGCUCUCGAAUAUCUCCUGUAAAUACCUUCUUAGUAUCAGGUUCAACAUUCAAAUCGGAGCUACUACUGGAUCUCUUAAGCCUACUUUUAUUUCCAUCAGCAGAUUGCUCACUAGCAUCAUUAAAAUUGUUAACAUGAUGAUCUCCUCCAAAUGACGAUAAGUUGUUGAAUUCUGGGGCCAACUGUGUGCCUGCUGUGUUACCAUCAAAUAAUUGAGCAUCAAGAUUUAAACCGGGCAUUGUCUGCAUCACAGUUUUCUCUUCACUUCCCGUAGAAGUUCCAACAUUGUUGGUAGAGAUUUCACUUCCUGGAUACCCUGUCAACACAGCACUCUUUGUCACAGAACCCCUAGGAAUAGCUUCUUGAAAUCUUGUGUUUACAUAUUUUUUCUCCUUCUUUUUGUAGUUUCUUCCUUUUGUCCACAUGUUUUCAAGAUUUUCAGGGGCAAGAACUUCAGUUCUUCUCUGGGUUGCUGCCUCUAAUUUUCGAGCCCAGUCAGCUGGUCGAGGCUGCACUGAUUCUUCCUCGCAUCUGUUAGAAUCUGAAUAUGUUUCUUUCUGAUCAUCAAGUCUAGCCAAUGUCAAAUCAGUUCCCUGACUAUUAAAGGACGCAAUUUUGCAUGAGGAGGAGACAUCACCACGGACUUCAACUGAAGACUGAUCAAAACCUUCCACCACCUUAAUCAUACCAUCAUUAAUGGCAAGUAGAACAUAUUCAAUUACUUCAUUGAUACACCUGACAACAAAACAUAAUUGGAAAGAAAAAAGAAUAAAGCAUUUCUUAAUGCAAGCACCAAAUCUUAUACCAACGGAAAAUGGACAAUCAUGAAUAACCUUUUAAUUUUAAACACACUCCCUUCUUUUACCUACAGGGAGCAAGAGCAAGAUUCUAACCAAGAAACCACUGUAGUUCCAUAAUGUCAUUCAACGUAGGAUGGUCUGUAUUCUAAUUGUUCCACUCUUUCUAAAAAUCAAAUAAACACUAAAUAAGAAUACAUGUCGAAAGAAACUGUCAAUAUUCUUAACCUAAAAGUUUAGGCUAACUUGCUAAACAGAACUAUAGUUUUAACUGAAGUAUUAACUACAUUCUUCGCUACCUUAAACUUAAACAAACAACAAACCAUUGCUCAAUAACCUACCCAGGGUUUGCCAAAUUCAAAAGAGGUUGCACAACCAAGCAAGUAACAAUCUCACGAGCAAUAGUUCGAACCAAAGGACAUUGAGCUUCUCGUGGUCUUAAUACUACUGCUAAAACUCCACCAAUAAGCCGUUGAAUAACCUGAAAAAUGAAAGUGUAAGGAUAUAAAACAAAAGCAAACCGCAAAAUGCAAAGGCAAAUUAUGUUUUCAUCGGAACACUCCACUCACACCUUGUACUCACUCUCUGGUGAAAUCAGUGCAGGAUGAAGCUCUUCAGAAACCAUAAGAUGGUGUUUCAGUCUUUCAUCCCUUUCUUCAGAUGACAAUGUUACCAUAACAUCAACACCUAUUGCAGCUUGGUUUCUUCUAAAAAGGUCCAAGUGAUCUCCGAUCAAAUCAACUAUAUCCCUGAAAAAUUAGACAACUGUUUGAAAUCUUUGAGCUUUAAAACCUUUUGAACAUAUUUACAAUUUGACAAUCCUUCUCUUACUAAAACCCUACCGAGUUAGCAAAUCAACAAGGUUUAUCUCUUUCGCCCUUCCUGAUAUUUCACCAAUAGCAUCCAAAAUUACAUCUCGCAUCAACUCAGGUGCCUCUCUAUCUGGAGUAAUCUCCGAAUACCACAAAUCAACAACAAAAUCCCUGAGUAUUUUAUCAAUAAGCUCAUUGAGAGCAGCCUCCACCAUAGGAGAAUCAAUUUUCCGCUUCCACUUGAGCGGAGGUGAUGAGCUGGAAACACGGGAGUCAUUCACGGACAACUGUUUCUUCUCCAAGUGAGACAAAUAACUCAGAACACGAACUGAUUUAACCUUCCAUUUGAACUCAACCUCAUUACUCAAAAUUCGUAAUCCAGCAACAAUAAGAAUUGCUAUAGGUAAAUUCAUCCACAUCGAUGUACUUGUAUCUACAUCCAUUAACAAAAGCAGAAAACACAGGGAAAAAAACUCGUAAAAGUUCAAAAAUCACUUACGAUCAAUUCCUAAUAGCAAAAAUUAAACCACACUAACGUAAGAUACUAAUAUAAAACCCUAGAUGAAUCAAUUAAUAGAAACUGAAAAUCCAGAGUUAAAUUUGAUUCCAAUUAAACGGGAAUUGUCCAUAAAGCUUCAAGAAGAAACAAUUCUAGGAAAAUAAAGCAUCCAUGCGAAGUAAAAAUAAAGCAUUCGCCACAACAAACAAUUUAAACAACAAAUUCAAAUAGCUAAAAAGAAAAAAACUAACAUGGAGCAAAUAAUUAUUCUUGGAAUCAUAUUAAUUAACUUACGAGUCAAGAAGUAAGUUACGACAAAGGUAGCCAACGCCCACCAGACCGUCCGUACUUUGGCAUCUUCGAUCAGAUCCUGUAUCGUCUCCAUCGAUUUCAUUUUCCCGUUUUUCUUUCGAUCUUUUUUUUUUCUCCCUCCAAUUUUUCUUUCCAAUUCGCGGAAUUCGAUUCCUUGAUUUUCAAGAAUUUUCAAUUCUUUCUUAACAUGGAGAAAAAUAAAUAAUCACCGGAAAAUAAUUUGAAUUUUUUUUCUUCGAUUAGCUUCAGCAGGGUUUAAUAUGGAAUUAGUCACGAACCAAAAAGAAAGAAAAUAAUAACAGAGAAGAAAAUUAGAGCAUCUGGAAUUUGUUUCUAACUAAAUAAAUUUGAAAAUGAAUAGGGAGAAUACAACCAGCUAUGAAUAGUAGGGUUAUAUAGGGUUAAUAUACCAUUUGAGGCUUAAGUUUGGCUUAAAUGUUCAAUUUAGUAUUUAAAUUUUUUUCUCAAUUUAGUACUUAAGCUUUCCUUUGAUGUUCAAUUUAGUACCUAAAUCAAAAGUCAUCAUGUGGCCCAAUGAAUUAUUAACAUGUGUGCUCUAAUAAAAUACAUACGUACCUUAAUUGGAAGAGAAAAAAAUUCAAAUUCUAAAUUAAAUAUUAAAAUCAAACUUAAGUACCAAAGUAAACAUUAAAACCAAAAUCAAAUACAUACGACAAAAAAAAACACUUCAGUACAAUAAUAAAUCUUAAAAUCAAACAUAAAUAUCAAAUAAUAUAUUAAUGCAUGGUAAUACUUCUCUCGAAUAUCAAUUAGCCUCUAACCAAAUAAUAAAUUUGGAGGUUUUCUUUCCUUUCAUUUCGAUAUUUAUUUUUUCUGUAAAAUUUGCUUUCAAUCCUUCUAUUAUACAUAAAUUUAUAAUUUAAUAUUUAUACGUUAAUUUAACAUAAUUUAGUUUAUUAUUAUAAUGUUAUUAGUUAGUGUUGACACCAUUUUUUAAAAAAAAACGGAGUCGAUUUGGAUUUGAAAAUGAAAAAGAAAAUGUUUGGCUCACCUCGAAAAGUGAUUGUUUUUAAUAAAUGAUUUGAUUUUAUUAAAACAACGAUUUUGGUCCACGAAAUUCAGAAAAACGGGUUCGGGAGUCAGUUACGCACGAGGAAGGAUUAGCACCCUCGAUACGCCCAAAAUUGGUACCUAGUUGGCUACUUAAUGUCUUAAUGUCGAAAAUUGAAAACUUUGAAGAGAUUUAAAAUACGAUCCUUUAUUGAAAAGUUGAAAAUACAAUGUCUUAAAUUUCCGAUGCGCGAAUAAAUGCCGAAAAUUUACUUAUUUAAAAAAUAUUUAGCUAUCUCGGAUUUAAAAAAUGGAUCAUGCCUAGUAAGUUAGGACACGAUCUUUUCUUAAUUCCCGAGAUCAUUUAAAACUUGAGAAAAAAAAGGAUCAUGCCCAGUAAGUUAGGACACGAUCUCUCUUCUUAAUUCCCAAGAUCGUUUAAAACUUGAGUUUGAAAAGAUUCGUGUAUUUAGAUUUAUUGUGAAAAUCGAAACCCAGUAAGUUAGGGUACGACCUUCUCAAAUCUAAACACGAGAUUUUGCUUACUCAAAAUCAUAAUUUAUGCAUUGAAUAAAAUUAAUCUAACACGAAAUAGUAGAAAUAAAACACGAUGUCAAUAUGCGUAAUAAAACAAUAAUAAACACGAUGAUGUAAAAAUAAUACGAGCAAUAGCAACAAAAAUAAAUAAAAUAAAUAAAUAAAAGGGAUAAAUCAAUAACAUACAAAAUGACAAGUAUAUAAGCAAAUAAAAUUAAAGCAUUCUUUCAUAAUAAUGAUGAAAAUGUAAAUAAAUAAAUAAAUAAAAUGAAUAAAGUUAUAAAAAUGUAAAAAGAUACAUGUAUAUACAUAUAUAUAUAAAUUAUAAAAUAUAAUAAAUAUAUAUAUACAAGUAUGUAUAUAUAUAAAUUAUAAAGUAUAAAAAUAAGUAAGUAUAUAUAUACCAAAGAUGUGUACAUAUAUAUAUGAUUAAAUCUAAAAUUAAAUGGCAUAAGUGAGUAAAUAAUAAUAAUAAUAAUAAUAAUAAUAAUAAUAAUAAUAAUAAUAAUAAUAAUAAUAAUACAAGGUUAAAAGAUAUUUAAACAGAUAAAUAAAUAGAAUAGAAAUAUAAUAACAAUAAUAAUAUAAAAAUAACAGCAUAAUAUAAUAGUGAUGAAUAAGUAAAUUGAAUUAAUUAAUAAAAUAACAAAAUAACAAAAAAGGACUAAUUUGAAUUUUAAGACAAAGAUUCGGGGUAAAAUCAAAAUAAAAUGAAAGGGAGGGACCAAUCUGAACACGCGCAUAACAUGGGGCACUGAAAAGGUAAUUUUACCUUCCCCAAAACGACAUCGUUUCAGCAAGGACCAAACUGAAUUCGUAGAAAAAUCACGGGGUAAGAUUUAAAAAAUAAAAAUCUUUGAUUGGAAAACAUUGAAAAAGUGGAAGGACUAAAAGUACAAUUAGCCCUUCCAUUGAAAACACGCGGAUCCCCCUGGAGCGGGUCGGGUCGCAUGCGGGUCGGCCUUAAACGACGCCGUUUUGGCACUAAAAGAUCCUGAAUGAAACGGUACCAUUUUGUAGCAGUAUAAAAACUAAAAUUUUUCAAAAAAAAAAAUACUCAUUUUUCUUUAUUCGAAAAAAAAAUGCCCUCAUUCUCUCUCGGCCCCUCUCUCUUUUUGCCCAUACUCCGACCUACGGCUCCGGCGCACCUCCGCCGUAGGCGGCAACCGGAGGUGCAAGAUUGGACCUUUUUUGGUCUCUUUUGAAGCCGACCGUCCUUAGAAGUAGGAUUUAGGGCCAAAUCUCUAGAUAGAUGGGUCGAACUCAGAAAAACAGGAAGAAACCGUUCGCCUUUCUUCUCUGGCACGACGCAGGUGAGAUUUUUUUUCUUUUUUGUUUUUUUUGGUUAUUUGGUAUAACAAAGAUAAAUAAAAAUAAAAAUAAAAAUAAAGCAAAAAAAUAAAGAGAGACUCGAAUGCAAAAAAAAACCACCUCUAUUUAUGUAUUCUGUUUUUUGAUUUUUUUCAAUCGCUUUUCCUACAAUAUUUGUCCCCCUUUCUCCGAUUCAUGUUUGGCUUUUAUAUAGCCAAAGAGAAAAAUAAAAAAGAAAAAUAUAACUAUAAAAAAGCUACUUCCUAUAUUGCUUUCUUCUCUUUUCUGUCUCUGUUUCCUCUUUUGCUGCUUUGGUUUGUCAUUUCUCGCAGGUUCGGCCAGCUGGAGGUGUUGACGAGGGCGGAGUUCGCGAUUUUUUCCAUUUUGGUGCAAGGCUGCCAUGCUUCGGGCGGUGUGCGCGCCGAGGGCGCACAUGGGGUAGGCUGCGGCGCGAGGGAAAGCAUUAGGGUUUAGGUUUUCUUUUCUGAAAACUUUAGGUUGUGGGCUUAAGGUUUUCAUGUGGGCCUUUUGGUCCAUUGUAUUUUUUUGGGCUAGUUAUUUUGUAAUCUGGACUGUUCUAUUUCGGGCCUGGGCAUAAAUGGGUCAUCACAGUUAGUUCAAAUAAUUUAUAUCGUUAACUAUUGUUACAUUUUUUUACUUUUUAAUGCAAUACUUAAACUGUCCAUGACCCUAAUCCCUAACUAAAAAGAUUAUACAUAAACCUACGUCCUUCAAGUUGUUGCAACAUCAAUGAUUUUAAUAAAGUUCAGACUUAAUCGACAAUUAUUUUUAACUAUUUGACUAAUUAAUAACAUUAUCAAAAUAAAAUAAAAUAUUAUAUUAUAUUAUAUUAUAUUAUAUAUAGAGACUAAAUUCUAAAUUUAAGUAUAAUAAAAAGAGGAGGAAAAAUUUUAACCUUGUUUUCAAUGAAAACAUGCAUAAUGACUUAUUUGACCCUCUAAUUUUUGGGAAAAAAGUCAUUUUAACCCUCAUUUAAUUUUUCAUCUCUUUUAACCCAUAAACUACCGUUUUUUUGUCAAAACAACCCAAAAUGGAGGGAAAAAUUAGCAAACAUUAACUUUGCUAACAUGGCAUGUACAUGACCAUCUAUGUGUGUGUUAUGUCAAUAAUUAAAUAUUUUUUAAUUCAAAAAAAUAUAAUAUUUUAAAAUUAUCAUGGAAGAAUUUUAUAAUUUUUCAUAUUUUCUAAAAUUUUAAAAUAUUUUUUGAAUUUUAUAAAACUUUAAAAAUAUUAUAUAAUUUUAGGAAAUUAAAAAAAUAUAAAUAAUUGUUGAAAUGGCAUGACACUAGAAAAUAUCAAAUUCUAUGUUUUUAAAUUCUGUCGACAUGAUUAUUCUUAUCUUGACAGGAACCCAAAACUUAUCCAAUUAAUUUAAGUGAUUUAAAUUAGUAAUUUCAACUUGUUUAAUUUAAAUUUUAAAAUAAUUUAAACUUAAAUUAAUUUUACCUCAAGAUAAUUAAAUUUGAAUGAUUUUAACCUAAAAUUAUUACAAAUUUAAAAAUCGAAAUGAUAUAAAAUAAUUUAUACCUAGAUCCAAUUGAAAUUAUAUUUUUAAACUUAACUAGAAACUAUAACAUCUAACUAAAGGUUUGAAUAUUGUAUAAUAAAUCUAAAUCAUAAAAAUAAAGAACAAUAAAAUGUAUCAUAAAAUCGAGAGUUAUAACAUAUUAUAACAUGUAAAAAGAAUAUUUGAUGUAACGUCAGUAUGUAUAUUUUAUAUACAAUUAAUUAAUAAUAAAAGAUGGUCAAGAGUAUUCACUGUCCUAAAUGUGGCUUGGGUUCGAGUUGCGUUAGUUGCAUUGGUAGUUUGCGUUUUGUCCUAUUAUUAUAAUUCACAAAAAAAUAACAUAUUACAAAAAAGAUUAAGACUUUAAAAAUAUCAAAGUUAUCAAUGUUAACAAGUAGAAAGCAAUUGGUUAAAAUAUGCUAUCGGUUUUUACUCUUAAUAAAUUUGAAAUUUAGUUAUUAUACUUUUCGAACUUUUAAAUUUAGAUCUAUUUGUUAACACUAUACAAAUAUUUUUUAUUAAAUUUAUUGGUGUAAUAUUUUAAAAUAAAAAAAUAUUUGUUCGGUUGCUAUGUAUCCAAUAAAAAUAAUGUUCAACAAAAUAAUUCUAACCGUAUAAAUACCUGAAUUUUGAAAUCUAAAAAGUAGGGGUACUAAAGUUCUAGAAAUAAAAGUGCAAGAAUUAAAUUCUAAAUUUAUGAAAAAAUGUAAAAACUUAUGACAUAUUUUAACCAAAAUAAUUAUAUUCACCAAAUACUAAGCAUGAUUCAAUUAUCAUUUGAAAAUAAAUUACAUUUAAUAUAUUAGUUUAAUUGAAGUAAAAAAAGUAUUAAUCUUAAUUAGUAUAAUUAUCAAUGCUAAAAAAUUGAACAAAUUAAUAAUAUAAUAUAAAAAUAGAAUGACCAAAUUAUACUAAAUUGAAGUUUAGAAACUAAAUAUAGAAUUUUAAAAAAAGUAGAAGGACCAAAAUCAGAAUUUUACCUAUUAUAAACAAAGGGUAGAAGUACAAUUCAAUCUCGGUCAAGUGGUGGUUGCAUUUAUAUCUAUAUAUAUGCAAUACGUUUCACCUGUAAAAUUACCGGAACUCCUAAUUAUAUGUGAACCAGCACUCUUUUCGGUAACUGAAACAAGAACCCAACAUCCCAUUCGUCCUCUAUAUAAACUCUGUCUUACAUCUCCAUCAACAACAUUGUCUAAGCAGCCUUGGGCCUUCCAAGGUGAAUAAAUAAAAUGGCAAGUCGUCAAAGUUUUCAGGCCUUCGGCUGCUUAACUUUUUUCUCUUGCAUUCUAUUUUGCUCAUACGCACCCACUUUCGCAUUAACUGACGUCGAACAAUCUUACAUCACUCGUCGUCAACUAUUGGCACUCCGUGAGAAUGGUAAACUCCCCGAUGGGUAUGAAUAUACUGUGAAAACGACAGAGAAAUUCGAGAAUGAAAGGCUUAGGAGGGCUUUCAUUGCUCUUCAAGCAUGGAAGAAGGCUAUGUACUCUGACCCCAAGAACAUCACGAGCAACUGGUUUGGGCCCAACGUGUGUGAUUACAAAGGUGUUUAUUGUGUCCGAGCAAUGGAUGACCCCAAAUUAAAAGUUGUGGCUGGUAUUGAUCUUAACCAUGCUGACAUCGCCGGUUACCUUCCGGUGGAGUUGGGGUUGCUGACCGAUGUUGCAUUGAUACAUUUAAACUCUAAUAGGUUUUGUGGGAUCAUCCCCGAGAGCUUAUCCGAGCUUACACUUAUGCAUGAAUUUGAUGUUAGCAACAACCGGUUCGUGGGGGAUUUCCCUAAAGUUGUACUGUCAUGGCCGAGCGUGAAGUUUAUUGAUCUCCGGUUCAAUAAUUUUGAAGGUUGUUUACCACCUGAGCUCUUCAAAAAGGAUCUGGAUGCAUUGUUUCUGAACGAUAAUCGCUUCACUUGCAACAUCCCUGAAACAAUCGGCAAAUCGACUGUCUCCGUUGUGACAUUCGCCAACAACAAGUUCAAAGGAUGUAUUCCACGUAGCAUUGGAAAGAUGUCGAACUUGGACGAGAUCAUUUUCUCAAACAAUAACCUCGGUGGUUGUUUCCCUCAAGAAAUUGGAUUGCUUCGAAAUGUUACUAUUUUCGAUGUUAGCAAGAACUCGUUCGUGGGUAGCUUGCCCGCAAACUUUUCGGGAUUCGAGAAGGUUGACGUUUUGGAUAUUUCCGGGAACAAGUUGACGGGGAGUGUGCCGGAGGAUAUUUGCAAGUUGCCGAGCUUGUCUAGUUUCAAGUUUUCUUACAACUAUUUCAGUGAGGAGCAUAUGGCUUGUAUAAAGCCUGAAAGGAAGAACAUUGUGGUGGAAGAUACUGGUAAUUGUGUGGCUGGCCGGAUGAAGCAAAAGACAGAUAAAGAGUGCAAACAGGUGGUGAGUAACCCGGUUGAUUGUAGCAAGGACAAAUGUACUGGAGGGUCUCCACCUUCUAAGCCUAAAUCACCACCACUACCACCGGUCCACUCCCCACCCCACCACGUCGCACUCCCACCCCACCACGUGCACUCACCACCCCACCCGUCCACUCACCACCCCCACCCGUCUACUCACCACCACCACCAGUGCACUCACCACCACCACCCGUCUACUCCCCACCACCACCCGUCUACUCCCCACCACCACCCGUCUACUCACCACCACCACCCCCACCCGUCCACUCCCCACCACCACCACCAGCAGUACAGUCCCCACCCCCACCAGUACAAUCUCCACCUCCACGAACUCCAUCUCCUCGUCCUGUUGUGUCUACACCGCCACCUACAAAAGAUAUUGUCCUCCCACCAAACAUAGGAUUCGAAUACCAAUCGCCACCUCCACCAAUGUUUCCAGGCUACUAAACAGUACUACAGCCUUAACAUCUUUGUAUUGUAUAUUCUCGCUCUCGGGCAUAAAAGGAAAAAAAAAAGAGCCAUAAAUUACAAUUAUGUCAUUACCUUUUCUUGCGUUUGCAAUUACUAUUCAAAUUGUAACAUCAUUGCGAAAGCUCUUAUAUUUAUAUAUGAAUCUUAAUUACUAGUAACUUUCAUCUUUUCCCUCUUCCUCUUUUGUUAAUAUUGGAAAAAUAAAUAUUUGUGAUAUAUAAUUUAUAUGUCACUUCAGCAUGUUGUGUUGGUUUCGGGUUGCAUCAAUUUCAAUCGGAUCAAUUUGAUUUUUGAUCAUUUAUGUUUAUUUUUUUUUCUUUCAAGAGUGACACUUAAUUUCGAGUUUUUUAUUCAUGUUUUUUAAGUUUGAUUUUUUUUUAUAUGUUGGAAUUGGGUAGGUUUGAUUAUUUACUUUUUGAAAAAAGUUUUGGUUUUCUCCUUAUUCUAAUUUGAUAUCGCAACUAUGUUCCAACAUAAAUUAGAAUAAGAUGGAUUAAUAAAAGUUUUCAAAUAGAAAUAACACACAAGAUUUAUUAACAUAGUUCAUAUAACAUUCUUACUUUGUAAAGCCUUAUUAAGGGUGUACAAAAUUCGAUGGAAAAAGCCACCCAAAUCAACUCAAUUCGAUUUUUUUGUUCGAUUUUAUUGAAUUCAAAUAUCUAAAUAUAAUAUUUUAUAUUUUUACUUCAAACCCCUAAACUUUUUUACUUUUCCUAAAAACUUUUACUCCUCUCCUAUCCCACCCCCAAACCCAUUCCUCCACCCCCCCAAUAUUUUUUUUGAAUAUUCCCCCUCAAAAUUUUACUCUCCAAACUCUAAAACUUUUUAUUUUUCCCUAAAACUGUUACUUUUCAUCAUAUACCCUCAAAUCAAAAAUCAAAAUCAUCCAAUUUCACAUAUUUUCCAUGAAAUUGUCUAAUAUUCAAGAAAUCUUCAUUAUGAUCUCCAUGAGUUGCAAUUACAUGUUUCACUUGAGCAUUGACUUAUAAUGUCAACAAAAGCAAAUCCAAAUAUAACACUAAAGGCAUUCAAAUUAUAUAUAAUCAUGUAAUAUUAUAAUAGAACAGUCAACAAUAUUAAUUAUUUGGUCUAACUAAUAAUAUUAUAAAAUUCUAAAGAUCUUAUUAUAUUAAAAAUUAAAUAUAGCGAGCUUAAGGAAAAAAUCAUAUACCCAAAUUUCGUUGCUUUUAUAUAAUAAAGGUAUUCAUCUUAAUUAGUGCCAUCAAUGUUGGUGUAAUUAAUCUUCCAAAAAUGGUAUAAUUAAUCACAUAUUAUUAUGACGUUUUUUUAUAUUAAAAGGUCAAAUUCGGUUUUUGUCCCUCUACUAUAUUAGAAUUAAAAAUUCAGUCUGUUUUAUUUUAAUUUAGCAUAAUUUGGCCCUCUUACUUCAUUAUUAAUUAAUCUAAAAUGUUAACACCAUUAACUAUUUUAAUCAAAAUACUUAUAUGAUUUUUUUUAAAAAAAAAUCAGUGUUAAGCAUUUAGUUAAUACGUAAUUUUUUAUUAAAAUUUUUUUGAUUAAUUUUUUUUAGAAAAAGCACAAUUAAAAAAAGAAUAAUUAACAAUGCUAAAAAAUUGAUAUAAAAAUAGAAUGACCAAAUCAUAGUGAAUUGGAGUAUAAAAACUAAAUCAUGAAUUUUAGAUAUAGUAGAAGGACCAACAUAUAGUUUGACCUAUUAUAAAAUAAAGAUAGAAAAUUCAAGUUAAAAUUGGUUAAAUAGUAUCUAUACAUAAGCCUUACAUUUCGCUUCGCCUCUAAAGUUACAGAACCUCUAAUUAUAUGUGAAACCAGCAAACUUCUCGAGAACUAAAGCAAGAACCCAACAUCCCAUUCGUCCCCGAUAUAAGCUCCUUUCCAUCUCCAUCAACAUUGCCUAACCAGCCUCGGGCCUUCCAAGGUGAACAAACAAAAUGGCAAGUCGUCAAAGUUUUCAGGCCUUCGGCUGCUUUCAUUUGUUCUUUUGGAUUUUCUUUCGUUCAUUCACACCCACUUUCACAGCCGAAGCGUCUUCAAUCGCUGAUCGUCACCUGUUGUCACUCCCCAAAAAUGGUAAACUCCCCGACGGGUAUGAAUAUACGGUGAAAACGACAGAGAAAUUCGAGAAUGAAAGGCUUAGGAGGGCUUUCAUUGCUCUUCAAGCAUGGAAGAAGGCUAUGUACUCUGACCCCAAGAACAUCACGAGCAACUGGUUCGGGCCCAACGUGUGUGAUUACAAAGGUGUUUAUUGUGUCCGAGCAAUGGAUGACCCCAAAUUAAAAGUUGUGGCUGGUAUUGAUCUUAACCAUGCUGACAUCGCCGGUUACCUUCCGGUGGAGUUGGGGUUGCUGACGGAUGUUGCAUUGAUCCAUUUAAACUCCAACAGGUUUUGUGGGAUCGUCCCUGAGAGCUUAUCUGAGCUUACACUUAUGCAUGAAUUUGAUGUUAGCAACAAUUGGUUCGUGGGGGAUUUCCCCAAAGUUGUACUGUCAUGGCCGAGCGUCAAGUAUAUUGAUCUCCGAUUCAAUAAUUUUGAAGGUUGUUUACCACCUGAGCUCUUCGAAAAGGAUCUAGAUGCAUUGUUUUUGAACGAUAAUCGCUUCACUUGCAACAUCCCUGAAACAAUUGGCAAAUCGACUGUCUCCGUUGUGACAUUCGCCAAUAACAAGUUCGAAGGAUGUAUACCACGUAGCAUUGGCAAGAUGUCGAACUUGGACGAGAUCAUUUUCUCAAACAAUAACCUCGGUGGUUGUUUCCCUCAAGAAAUUGGAUUGCUUCGCAAUGUUACUAUUUUCGAUGCUAGCAAGAACUCGUUCAUGGGUAGCUUGCCGGCAAACUUUUCGGGCUUUGAGAAGGUUGACAUUUUAGAUAUUUCCGGGAACAAGUUGACGGGGAGUGUGCCGGAGGAUAUUUGCAAGUUGCCGAGCUUGUCUAGUUUCAAGUUUUCUUACAACUAUUUCAGUGAGGAGCAUAUGGCUUGUAUAAAGCCUGAAAGGAAGAACAUUGUGGUGGAUGAUAGUGGUAAUUGUGUGGCUGGUCGGAUGAAGCAGAAGACAGAUAAAGAGUGCAAGCAGGUGGUGAGCAACCCGGUUGAUUGUAGCAAGGACAAAUGUACUGGAGGGUCUCCACCUAACCAAAACACACCUACGCCACAUCGUGUAUCUCCAACGGUUCCUACCAAGCCACCAACAGCACCAACACCAGUACCUGAUAAAAUUGAACUCUCUCCAAAGUUUCCUAUUCGCCCACCAAAACCACCUCCAGCACCGGUUCCACCUCCACCAGUCCCUUCCCUACCACCACCCGUCCAAUCCCCACCACCACCUGUGCCCUCCCCACCCCCACCCGUCCACUCACCACCACCACCACCGGUUCCUUCACCCCCACCACCAGUAAAAUCCCCACCUCCACCGGUGNNNNNNNNNNNNNNNNNNNNNNNNNNNNNNNNNNNNNNNNNNNNNNNNNNNNNNNNNNNNNNNNNNNNNNNNNNNNNNNNNNNNNNNNNNNNNNNNNNNNUAUCUCCUCCUCCUGUAUUGUCUAAACCACCACCUACAAAAGAUAUUGUCCUCCCACCAAACUUAGGAUUCCAAUACCAAUCGCCACCUCCACCAAUGUUUCCAGGCUAUUAAAUAGUAUUAUAGCUUUGACAUCUUUAUUUUGUAUGUUCUCCAUCUCGGGUAUAAAAAAAUAACAAAGAAAAGUUCAUAAAUAACAAUUGAGGUAGUUACCUUUUCUUUUUCUUAGUUUCCUCUUCUAACAUGAUUGCCAAAGCUCUUAUCUUUAUCUAUGAAUCUCAAUUACUAGUAGCUCCUCUUUUGUUAAUAUCAGGAACACAAUUAAAAAAUUCUAAGAUUUUUAUCAGCUACACCAAAGAUUUUAUGUCCUAAAAUCUAUUCUAUAGUUAUGUAGAGUCCCCAGCUUCAAGUUUUAAUAUUUAAUGAUUCAACUUUGCUUAUAUUUAUCAUAAAUGAUUAAAUAUGAUUUAUUAUAUAAUAAUAUUUUUAAUAAAUUUAAUUUUGAUUCAUAUAUUUUUUAAUAAAAAAUCUAUAACAAUGCAAAUUAGAAAACUUAAAUUUUUUUUUAAUAAUUAAAGGAAAAAUUCCACAUAAAAUAUAUUAAUAAAAAAAUAUUUCAAAAUUGAUAAAGUCAUACAAAACAAAUACAUAAAUUCAAUUUUUAAUAUAAUUACAUAAAAUCAAACCAUCCUAAGUCCAAUUCUCGAAUUUCAAGUAUGAGCAACAUCCAAAAUUUCAACGUAGAAUCACAAUUUAAAAAUUUAUAAGUUUUGUAAAUAAAUUUGUAUAAAAAGAAACAAAUAUUUAAAAAGUAGAUUAUUAAUAUAUAUGAUAUGAUAUAACAUUAUAUAAUAUAGUAGGAAGGCUAACUUUCAAAUGUAUAAAAACGUAUAGGGACUUAGAGCAUAUUUCAACUAGUAUAAUAAUAAACAAUAAUAUAUAAUAAGUAAUAAGUAAUAUACUACUAUUAUAUAUGUCUAUUUUUAUAAUAUAGAUUAUAAUAAAAUAUAUACCUCCAGCAUGCCGAAUCCAGCAUCAGAAUUCGGUAAUGUACCUGAAAGGGGAACACUAAAGGGGUGAGCUACACGAGUUCAGUGUGAGUUUGAGACAAGACUAACAACAAAAUUACAGACCGGAAUUCCAAAUAGCAAUACAACAGUGAAACGUAUUUACAGAGAUAUACAGAACCAGAAGGCAUACACGAAGCCUACGACCCAAGCGAACGUACUCAAGCAAAGCACUUAUCAUCACACACAGUGUUACAAAACCUCAUCACACGCAAGAACAGUCACAAAUGAUAAGUCAAACAGAUAAAACGCAGACAAACAAACUUACACCCAAUCACUUAAUCAGAUGCUUAUGAAUGCAGUCAAGUAGUGAAAACCCACCAUCUAGCCAAAACACCUCUCCGUCCCCCAAUCACACCCCAAUAGAGUUGUUUAAGCUCAUCCAACCAGACACACCACGUAGGACCUCGAAAGGCCCAUCCAACCCUACACACCAUGUAUAUGGACUAAGCCACUCAGAUAAUAUGUAACACCCCUAACCCUUAUCCAUUACCGGAAUAAGGUUACAGAGUAUUACCGAACUUUAUAGGCUAAUUACGAACAUUUUAUAUCAUUUAAUACACAUAUUAGAAACUAAUCACAAUUCAUUCACAUUGUCCCUUGUAUGAGCCCUCGAGGCCCAAAAUACACAUUAGAAUCAAGUCGGGACCAAACCGGGAACUCAAAGAAUUUUUGCAAAAUUUCAAAAAAAAUUUCCAAGGUACUGGGGACACAUGCCCAUGUGGCUAGGCUGUGUGUCUCACACAGUCGAGAGACAUGCCCGUGUCUCAGGCCGUGUCCAAAUUAGGGUGGCUACUGACUUGGGUCACACGGCGAAGCCACACGCCCGUGUGUUAGGCCGUGUAAACAUACUAACUUGUAUAAUUAAGGUGCAGGGUUCACACAGUCAAGUCACACGCCCAUGUGCCACACACGGCUGAGAUACACGUCCAUGUCUCUGCCCGUGUGAAAAUACUUGAGCCUCCUGUUUCUAAAAUUUAAAGAUGCAGACACACGGCCUAAACACACGCCCAUGUGCUAGGCCGUAUGUCACACACGGCUGAGAUACACGCUCGUGUCUCUGCCCGUGUGGACGAAAAUAGGUCAUUUUAAGGCCACUUUUCUCACCCAUUUUAUUAUCAAACUAUACACAAUAUUUCAAUACAUCAAUACAUCCCAAACAAACAAUUAACACAAGCCAAAAUCAUGUUUUAAGAUAAACAUAACAUCACAAACACUCAAUUACUUAAAUUUACCUAUUUAAUCCAUCUCAUUGGUUUAUCAAAAUCUACUUCUAUUUAUAUAUAUAACCUUUAUAACCAUAUUUUUAAGUACUUCAUUUCCACUCCAACCCUAUACAUGCCAUAUAAACCAAAACAUACGUUGCAAAAGCUACCGGAUUAAGUUAGAUAGUGUGACUUGAUGUAUUGAUCCGAUCUCCCUACCUCACGUUAAUCUACAAGAACAUUAAACAACACAAGUAAGCUUAAUGAAGCUUAAUAAGUUCAAUAGGUUAAACAUAAAUCUUAACAUACAUAUUAUAACAAAUCAUUUAAAUAAAUCAUUCAAUGUACAAUUCCUGCCAAUCACAACUUUAAUUGAUGAAUUCACUUAUCUAAGAUCAAUACCAAUCAUAACAUUAAGUUUUUAUACAUUAAUUUCAUACGUUACUUACCAACCCUUGUUGUAUUGAAGAACAACUUACGGAUAUGAGUACAUUGUAUUCAGAAGCCCGAAGGCUAUACAGAAGCACAUAAGUGCUAAACAGAAACUCAUAAGGGUUGAAUGUGUAACACCCCUUACUCGAGACCAUUGCCGGAGUCAAGCAUGAGGCAUUACUUAGCUUAUCUUACUAAUUCGGAGCUUAAAAAUUUACUUUGAAAAUUAAUUUCACUAUUUACAGCAAACCUGUCCAAUCGCGUAGCAGUUACUAAAUUGAUUAUAACUCGAGCUACGGGAUUCAAAAUUUAAUUUGAUAAAUUUUACCUGAAACUAGACUCAUAUAUCUUCCUACCAUAAAAUUUUUAGAAUUUUUGGCUUAGCCAAUUAGUACAGUUUAUUAGUUAAAGUCUCCCAUGUUUCACCAAUCGACUGCCCUGACCUCUUGUCACUAAAAAUAAAUUUUCUCACUGUAGGAUUUUCAUAUGAAGUUCUUACUUGUUUCUAUAGAAAAUAGACUCAAUAAGUAAUCUAGACAUAUAAACUACAUCUCAUAACCAUUUUUAUACAAUUUUUAAUGAUUUUAUAAACUCAGAACAGGGGACUCCAAAAACAGUUCUGACCUUGUCUCACUAAAAUUCACAUAUCUUAAAAUAUAAAUUUCCUUUUGCUACACCGUUAUUCUUCCUUGAAAAUAGACUCAACAAGAUUUAAUUCCAUAUAUUAUUCACCCUCUAAUUCAUUUUAUACCAUUCUAGGUGAUUUUUCAAAUUCACGUCACUGUGCUGCCUGAAUUCUGUUUCUUUGCAAAAUUUUAUCCUUUCAUGAUUUCCAUGCAUAAUUUAUCACCUAAUCUUUCAUAACAACAAACACCUUCAUACUUAACCAUUUUAAUGACCAUACAUCAUCAAAUGCUUACACAUCAUUCAUUAGCAAAAUCAUCAUUACAAACAUACAAAAUAACUAAAUCCCUAUACAUGCCAUAACUCAAACGUGUUUUGACAUAAAAUACCGAGCAGUUGUGGUUGAUAGUGUGGACGAUCUCCGACUUCUUUAGGAUCCUUGAAGUAGCUUUGCAAUACUAUAAGAGAAAGAGAAAUAAAAGAAGUAAGCAUAAAGCUUAGUAAGUUUACUAGCAAAUAAAUAACAACAUUAAAAACAAAUAAUUAAACUCAAGUGACUAUAUCUCUAGUUUACUCUUUAGUUAAUCUCAUUCUAGUUCUCUUGCUUAUUUACUUAGAAUACUUGUGUGCAUAACUUACUCAUCUCUUGCUGCAUCGUUGAACAUCAAUUGAUAGUAUAAUAAGUUCUUAACUCUUAUAACUUACCUGAGCUUGCCAUUUAUGCUUUAAACUGAACUUUCAUGAAUAUGAUUCGCUUAUUAGCCCGUUGAGCUACAUUGGAACAAUAAGGAUACUCGGGUCUCUUCUGAUAAUAACAUGCCAAAGCCAUGUCUCAGACAUGGUCUUACAUGGGAUGUUCUCAUCUCGGUGCCCAUGCCAUGUCCCAGACAUGGUCUUAUAGGGGACCUCUCAUCUCGGUGCCAACGCCAUGUACCAGACAUGGUCUUACAUGGGACCUCUCAUCUCGGUGCCAACGCCAUGUCCCAGACAUGGUCUUACAUGAGACCUCUCAUCUCGGUGCCAAUGCCAUGUCCCAGACAUGGUCUUACAUGGGACCUCUUUACCCAAAUGUCAUGACAUUUGUAUCCAGUACCAUCCUUAUGUAUCAACGGGACUUUUUAAUUUUAAUUAUCUAUCAUUUCAUGCUUGGAUCAACAUUAAAUAAAUUCAUAAAAUAAAUGCAUAAUUGCUGGAAAAUAACAACAUUAAUAAUAAUUAUUAAAAUAUUGUAUUUAUUUACCGUAAACUUACCUUGGUAUUAAAUAUAGUCCAAUUCACCAACUUAGUCAACUUUUUUCUUCCCUUUGUCUAACCUUGAGUUUCGUUCUUCUUGAUCUAAAAUAGCAAAUUUAACUUAUUUAAUACUCACAUUCAUCAAAACAGCCAUCGACUCUAACUUUUUCAAAAUUACGAUUUUGCCCCUAAACUUUUACAUAAUUACAUUUUUGCCUCAAGGCUCGGAAAUUAAACUUCAUCUCUUAUUCUUAUGUUUUAUGAUAUGCUGAACAUUUUUCCCUUCUAUGGCAACAUCAAAUUCCCACUCUAACAUGUACUUAUGAACAUUAGGUAUUUUUACCGAUUAUGUCGUUUUACUCGUUUUCACUUAAAAUCGCUUAGCAAAAGUAGUUUAACAUAAUUUAUAGCUUCAUAUUCUAUCAUAAAACAUCAAAAUAAACACUUUUCACCUAUGGGUAUUUUUCCAAAUAUAAACCCUAGGUUAAAUUAUUGCUAGAAUAAGCUAAAUUAAGCUACCGGGACUCCAAAAACGUAAAGAACAUUAAAAACGGGGCUUGGGAUCACUUACUAUGGAGCUUGGAAGCUUGAAACCCUAACUAUGGCUUCCCCCUUGCUGAUUUCGUCCUAAUGAAGAAGAUGAGCAUAAUUUGCCAUCUUUUUCCCUUUUAAUUCAUUUUAAUUACUAGAUUACCAAAUUGCCCCUAACUUAAAAAUUUUCUAUUUCACUUAUCUCAUGUCCAUUUUUGUCUACCAACUUAACCAAUGGUCUAAUUACCAUAUAAGUACCUCCAAUUUAAAGUUUCAUAACAAUUGGACACCUCUAACAUGUAGAACUCAACUUUUGCACUUUUUACAAUUUAGUCCUUUUGACUAAAUUGAGUGCUCAAACGUCGAAAUUUUCGAACGAAAUUUUCACGAAAUCAUUUUGUGAAAUCGUAGACCAUAAAAAUAUAAGAAAAAUAAAAUUUUCCUGAUCGGAUUUGUGGUCCCAAAACCACUGUUCCGAUAACCUUAAAUUUGGGCCAUUACAGAAUGAAAACUCAUAAGAGCUGUACGAAAACCCAUAAGGGUUAAACAAAAGCUCAAAAGAGCUGACCAGAAACCCAUUAGGGUUAAACAAAAACUUAUAUGAGUUAACAGAAGCUCGUGAAAUCUAAACGGAGAGUAAACAAGAAUGUUCGCAACAACUGCUGAACCUCGGUUUACUUGGGUAAUUUGCUAUCAAUUCAUCCUUUGCAUUUUCUGUCAAUUCAUCCUUUGCCACAGAACGAUUGUACUCAGCCCCGUGUUCCACUCGUUUUAAACAUUCAAUUCAAUUUCAUAAUUUAACAAUAAUUUUAUUUUCAACAAUAGAUAUGAAUAAAUAUAUAAUAACAUUCAUAAAUUUAAUAAACAAACAUUAAAUUUUAACCAUACGAACUUACCUAAGUUAAGUUGUAAGAUUUGUAGUAGUAUAGAGACUAUUCUGCUAUUUUUUCUUUUUCACGUUUGUCUACGGGCUCUUGAUCCAAAAUAUAAAAUUAUUCAUUCAUUAGCACACAUUUCAGUUUCAAUUCACUUCUCAAUUAAUACCCUUCAAUUUUUGAAAUUACACAUUACCCUAAUUUUUUUACAAUUUUUACAAUUUAGUCCCUCACAAAUUAGCCUAUCAAAUGAGUUAUUUUUUCUCAAUUGACAAUUUAUCUAAAUAUUCUAAGCUAUCAUAUAGCCUUUGAUCAAUAGAAUUUAUUAUCAAACCCUAAUAUUUAAUCUUUUCACAAUUUAGUUCUAAAAUCAAUUUAUAUUAAAAUCACUUAAUAAAAUCAUCAUAUAACAAAAUUAAAGCUCUAAAUCCAUGUUAAUUCAUCACUAGCUUGUGAAAUGGCUUCUCAUAUGAUUAAUUUGAAAAAAUGCUAUGUUUAGAUGCACUAGCUUGUGGCUAUGGAAGUAUGAUAUGCUUAUGACUUGUGUGUUACACCUAUGGAACGAGUGUGGAAAGUAAAGAAAUACAAAUGAGAAUAAAGAAAAUUGGAAGAGUAUAAAGUUGUUUAAAACUCUACUAUACUAGAAAUAAUGUGUAUAAGUGAUGCUGUGGAUUUACUCAUUUUGUGAGUUGUUGAAUAUGGUUUCUUGAAUCGUGUGGUAUCAAUAAAUGUUUAUUCUUGAUAAGUAUAAAUUUCAUAAUAAAAUGGAUUGAUACGAUUAAAGUUUAUAUGAGCUUACUAAGCAAUCAUUGCUUACGUAUUUAUUUUUCUUUAUUUUUUAAAUUAUUAGAAGCUUGAUCGGGUUGGAAGCUUAUCGGAGAUAUAUCACACUAUCCAUCAAUUCUAUCGAUACUUCUGGAUGUUUGAUUUUGGUUAUAAUGGCAUGUUUAUGUUAUUUUGGCUAAAUGUUGGCUUAUAUGUACUUUGUUGGGACUAGCCAAUUAUUUGGCUUGUAUUUUGGUAUUUUGGUUGGUGCAUGAUUUGUUUUAUAAUGUUUAUGUGUGAAUUGAUUAGUGGUUGAAUGAUGAUAGGUAAAAUAGUAGUUGAAUAUGCAUAAUGAUGAUUGUAGGUUGAUACUAAAUUGGAUGAUAAAUAUGGCUUGUAAAAUGACCUAUUUUCAUCCACACAGGCAGAGGCACGGGCAUGUGUCUCAGCCGUGUGGCACACGACUAGGUGACACAGCCGUGUGUCCCCUGUAUCUUUUAAAGAGUGCAAGUCAGUAUGCUCAUACGGCCUAGCACACGGGCGUGUGACUUGGUCGUAUGACCCCUAUAGUGUUAAAAAUUUUGAAUAAUUCUGAAAAAAAUUCUCUGAGUUUUCGAAUUAGUCCUAAUUUUUUACUAAUAUCUAUUUUGGGUCUUGAGGGCUCGUUUAAGGGACAGUAAAUAUGAUUUUAAUUGGUUUUAUUAUGACUAUUGAUAUGUAAUGUAAUGUUUAGAAUUUCUGUCUGAUUAAUCUGUAAACUCUAGUAAUGCUCUGUAACCCUAUUCCGGCAACGGAUAUGGGUUAGGGGUGUUACAAAAAUUAUACCAGGUGUGUACCCUAGACACGAAAAAUUGAGGUUCAACAAAAGCUAAAAAAGGGCACUGUCGACUCUACAUCGGCGUGUGUCUGGCCGUGUGCGAGACAUGGCCGUGUAACAGCGAAGGUGUGGCUAUAUGGGCCACAUAGGCUAGGCUAGAUUGGGUGUGUGGGCUACACGAGCAUGUGGGUUUUAGGCCAGGUCGUGUAGGCCACACGAGCAAGGCCAAUUUGGGCAUGUGGGCCCAAAAUUCUGAAUUUUUUUCUAGGGUCGUACAGGUUGUUCUGAUCGACUAUGGGCCUACCGUAGGGUCGGUAAGGGCCAACCAAACCCUAAUUCAUAUGAUCUGAUAUUCUAAUAGUCUGAUCUAAGUAGGAAAUUGAUAUGCAUGUUUGAUUGUUCUGUUAGAAUAUAUAUUAUCUGUAUACGAGCAUGUUAAGCAUGAUAAUCCUGUUAAUUCUAUAUUUUGUUUCUGUAUUUUGGGUGAGAUUCGCAUAUGUGGAGGAAGUGAUCUGUACGGCGACCUUUCGCCUAUUAUCUGGCACUUGGCUGUAUAUUAUUAUGUUAUGUGUCGCAUCGACACUAUAUGGUGUGUAGGGAUGGGUGGGUGUUUUUAACCCCACAUGGUGUGAUGGGAUGGUCAGAGAUGGUGUGUAGAGGAUGAGGGUAAGAUUUUAUAUAUCUAUUUUGUACAUCUGAUUUUGAUAUCUGUAUUUGUUAAGGACUUAGGUUCGAUUCUAUUUUUGUCUGCAUAUGAGAUUCUGUGAAUUUUGCAUAACUAUCUCUGUUGGGUUAGACAUUGAGUUUACGAAAAUUCACAUCUGUUUGUCUUAUCUGUAUAGGUAACCCUCAGUCAUAGGCGGGUUGGUGCGAUGGAGGCUCAUUGGUGACCACUUGUUGGGAAACUAUUUCCCCAUUACCAUUAGUGCGGUAUUUUAAAUUCUGGAUUUAUUUGAGAGUUUGUAAUUUUUGGGACUCUCUAGACUAUAUGGUUUUAACUGUUGGUUUUGGUUUGGUUGCGUUUAAGUUUUUUAAAAUUAUGAUGAUUGACAAAUUGCGAUUUUAUGCGAAUAAAUGUUUUGAAAACACUGGCAAAUGGUUUUUGAAGACAAAAAUGAUUUUUCAUAUUUCCGCUGCAAAUUAAUCAGAUACUUUAAAGGAUAAUGUAUAAUCAUUUUUAUUAAGAUUAUAAAAACGAGUUUCUUCAAAACAUAUAGACUCUGUUUGGUAUCAAAUAACGCGAUUUAUUUUAACCAAAAAGAUGUGUUUUAAAACCCUUUUUUGUAACACUCUCUGAUUCAACUAUAACAUCUAGGUUGGGUUUGGGGUGUUACAACAGUAGUUUUUAAAGCAUCAUCUUUUUCUUAGACCACGUUCCCAAACCUUUUUUCUCUCCAUUGAGGGCCUACAAUAAUGUUGCUCAAUACAUGGUGUACGUAAACUUAAAGUAUUGUUGGAAUUAUCUUCACUCAUAAACACCUACCUUAUCGUUUUAGGUGACAAACUAUCUCAUACUAAUAUGUCUAUUUAUUUAAUAUUGUCAUGCAUUGAAUACAAAAUAUGUUAGCAUCACUGAGUUAUCAAUGCUUAGCAUGCGAAUGUGUUUGUUUCGUGAUUUGUCGUAAUUUGAUAUGUCAAAUUAGGCUCUCCAUUACGCUGGAAGAGUUUAUUCUCUAGCAAUUUGGAUGUCUUUUUCGUGUUUUUAUUUUGUUUUAGCUUUUCGCUUCAAUAAGUGAUUUGGUGUGAUUUAUGUUAUUUUUUAGACCCAAGUUGGCCAAAUAUGCCAUUGGGAACUGAACGAGUUGAUUGAGUGUUGUAGGGAGUUGAUGGUGGCCCAAACGUGAAGAAAACAUCACUUAGAAUGAGGUAUCGUGAUAUCGAAACAUGAAAGUUACCAGUGUUGAAACGAAAAGAAUUGAAGCCAUCUUCAGUGGUAUCGCGAUACCAACCAUGGCUAUCACGAUACUGAGACAUCCAAGGACCCCCCAUUUCAAGACAGUCGUGGGUAUCGUGAUACCAGAGCCUUGGUAUCAUGAUACCCCUGUCAAGCGGAGACAAAAGAUUACUGUAGGGGUAGUCCUUGUCCAACCUCAACACCAAUCAAAAUUAGACCCUGAGGGGCAUUUUGGUCACAAAAUUGGGUUGUAAUCAGCUGAAAAACUACCUUUUGGCUGUAAGAAAAAAAAGUUUUUCACUUUCUUUAAUUUUUAUCAUCUUUUUAGUUUAGGGUUUUGUUACUUUUUUUAUCUUUUUAGGGUUUAGGCUUCAACUUUUCUGAUUUUUGGUUAAAUAGUUAGUUAGUUAAGUUUACUGUAGCUUGGUGCUAAUUGUUAUUUAGUACCUUAAAAUUUCUUUGUAUUUGCACUUUAAUCCUUAGUUUUAAUAUAACUCAGCCUUGUUUUAUUGUACCUGUUAAAAAUAUUAUCUUUUUGUGUUUUUACUUGCUACUAUUGCUGCCAUUGUUGUUUUCUUCAAGCUUUUGUAAGAAAGCUUAAGUUUUUCUUCUCAACUUUUCCUUGGGUUUACUUUGAUACAUAUUUUGCUUGAAUGUCAGAUGUUACUUGGUUAGAAGUGAAUAUGAGUAGUAAAAUCCUAGGUGACUGGUUGAUGAAAAUGUUGUUUAGUUAUUUUUUGGUUUAGGGAUUAAAUCGCAAAAUUUGCACUAAAUUGAAUAGACUUCAAAACUUAGGAUUGACGCCGCUAAGGAAACUUUCAGAUGAGUGAGACUAAGAGGAGAUCUCAUUGAGCACCGAUUCAAUAUUCCUAGAUUAGUUUGGUGAGGUCGAGAGAUAAAUCGGACUAAUUUGUCUAACUUGGUAAAAUUGAAAUUGAGAGGUAAAAUUAAGCCAAUUUAGGAAUACAAGUGAUUUAGAUCCCUAAUCCGAAGGUUAAUUAACAACAUGGAAGUCAACCAACUAUUGUCUGUUAUUGAUUAGUCAAUUUUGUAAUUUUGUUUGUUUCACAAUUUAGUCAUUGUUCGUAAUUAGGAAAUUAAGUAGCACAAUUAACCUCAAUUAUGGUUUGUCAUAAUAUUACACAUAGUGAGUAGUAAGCUAGACUUCUUAAUUGCAUGUCAAUUAUUUAGGAUCACUUAAUCCUGACUCGUGUGGGUUCGAUCCUUGGAAUACUUGAGUGUUUAAGUGAACAUUACAAAUAUUACAACUACCCUGUCACACUUGAAGCAUAUCACAUUAUAUUUGAUUAUUUAGUGUUGAUUCUUUGCCCCGGUGUUCGCUUGCCAAUGGCAGAAGUGGUCAUUCCGUGCACAAGUAAUGAACAGAUCCUAGAUUAGUUUGAAAAACUCUGAAGCAUCCAAAGCUUUGUGACUCAACUCAGCAAGUGUUUAUAUUCCUUUUAAACCUAAGUAGUAGGUAGUAUGUACAUAGAAAGAAUUAUGAGUCUUAUGUGUUAUUUUGGUCAUUUGAUAUCUUUUGGACCCAUAAGGGUCCUAAUGUCGAAAUUUGAAACAUAAUUAUGAUGGUUAAAUGCAUGUUUCCAUAAGUUCAACCCCUCGCUCUUUAUUUCAAGGCAUGAUGCAGUAAAUGCAAUGUUUUCGAAUGUUUGAGAUGUAUAUAUAUUUUGAGUUUAAAAUUGCUAACUUACUCAUGUUUAGAUAAAAUGCAUUAGAUGUCGUAAAUUGAGUGCUAUGGUUAAGAAUGAGAAUGUCAAAUGUGUCGGUAUUGUUUAUACACAAAUAGGUAACCAUUUACAUGACUUAAAAGAUUAUAUAGGUAUGCUCUUGGGGGUUAGAAAAUAGGUGAUGUUGCGAUCUUGGCAUCCCAACGUCACGACUUCCUCGUCCAACAUUGUGACCAUGCUUGAUUCAUGUUGCGACCUCACUAAAUAAUUAGUGACAUAGUGACUUUCUUUGUUUCGAUAACCUGACUUCAUUCAUUGUUUUAGUAUAAAUUUUCAAAAAAAUUUCGAUGAUUCACGACUGAUUUGACAGGCAUGACCUGAAUCAAGACAUGUCUCCAAAAAAUUAAGCCCUCGUAACUUGUCUAUUUCCAGUAAAUUUAUAUAAAUGUUUUAAAUUUUGAUUUUAUAUCAUAUAGAAAUUAAAGAUUAUAACUCGAAUUGCUUCAAUAACGAAACGUAUCAUCUCAAAUUCGAGUCCACUGUCUGAAUCAGAUAUGAGGUGCCAUACAUUCAACAUAUAAUAUGUUUUAGAAAAAAAAACCCUUCAAACCAUGAUUAAACUUCAUUGAAACUAAUGACCAGAGUUUAAAGUCCUUUAUUUCCAUAUACACUCAAAUUGAAUUACAAUCAAAAGAAAAGGUGCAAACCUCAAAGUUUUCAAACUUAAGAAGGAGUCAUCUGUUUGUUUUUCGCAUAGAAACAAAAACCCCAGAAAUUAUUCCAAAAAAAACUAAAUUUAAGGAAGAAACCCAACAAAUGGAACCGAAGGAGCAGCAUGAGAGCGGAUAGGCAUCGACAUUAUGACGGGCCGGUUACUAUCAUUUUGGUGAAUGACAAUCCCAACAGCUUCAGCCACAACGAUGACAAACUUUAUAACUAGUUUUACCAUCUCCACGCACAUCUCUAAUCUCUGCAGCACCAUUCCCGCAAAAGCUCUUUCCUUGUUUUUCUUUUUGGGUCGCUAAUUCUAUUUUUCGCGUCGCUAUUUAUAUAUGCAAGACAUGGCGUCGCUAACUGGGAAUAAAAAAAGGGUUGUUUAAAGGAUAGAUAAAUACGGCCUCUGGAACAUCCAAAGGUCGUUUUUGUGUCAUUGGUUAAUUGUUUCUUGGAAAUUUCGAUUAUUUCAAAAAAUCAUUUUAUUUACCCACAUGUCUUCUAGUUGGUACCAGAUC
rnacentral:lncRNA from 1 species